GGAGCAAGAAUAGUAGUGAAAUGCAGGAAUAAAGUCUACCGCUAUCAAAUACUACACUAUCAUGCUCUACACUAACCAACUGUAGGAAAUGUCCAACCUGACCCAAUCCAAUCGGGACUGUAAGCAUACCCGUCCCCGGGACUGUGAAUACACCCGUCCCUGCCCCGUUGCGACUGUCCAGCUACCUCCACUAUGACUAGUCCGUGGAGAGCAAGUCCAACUGGCAUGAGCGACACUAACGCAAAAGCACCAGCCUGACUCCGGAGUGGCACUCGUGGGCGCUACCCAACCGAGUAUGCAGCGUAUCUCUGUCGAGCUCAAUCAGGCUCCAACUAGCCAAAGUCAAGUAAUCGACUCAAAUCGGUCUAACAACCAACAGGUAACGUGCCCUCGGCACAAUCUGACGCCAAAAAGGCGAUACGGGUCCACCGUCAACUCUGACGGCACCCAACAGUCCGAAACAACCUGAACGACCCUGUAAAAAUCCACUCGGCGAACCAGCACGAGUGUAAAUACAUUCUAAACUACCUGGGGUACUCGUCUCGAAGAAACUGUGACAGUACAAUUUUCUAACGGCUCCUGGAGCUAAAUCAGGUAGUUAAAACUGGUGACAGGUCCAAAUCGCAGGUUUUCUCCUAAUUCAAAUUCCAAGUCCAACAUGUAUAAUCUACUUAAUUUAUAAAACAUGCUCCAAAAUUCAGAUUUCACAAUCUACAUAUAGUCCAUGAAUUUGAGCUAACACAAUUUACCGAAAUCAAGAUCUAUACAUGUCAACCAAUAAGAACUUAGGAGUAAAGCCGAUGUAACCCACCUAAAAUGCUAAUCCUUGGCAACGAAGGACUCCCACUGGUGUAGAGCAACUUGCUGGAUCAAACGCACAGCUCCGAGUCCAGAAAUCGUCCACGCUCGAGCUCUACACAACAAUAAAUCACUGUUUCAGUCCCGAAUUUCAGCAGUGAGGUACAACAGGGAUUCGACCAAGCUAACCUUCACCAAAUCCAGCAAGCAAGGGCUUCGUGGAUUCCUCUCGAAGUCUUGAAUCCAAAGAGCCAAGUCUCGUCGCAAUGCGAUGCUCCUACGUCGAGUACGAGCUGAAAUACUAACAGUCGACGGUGGAUUUCAGCAAACAAUAGUUAUCCGAGUUGAAGUAGUAAGAACUUGCCCAAAAAUCCAAGGGAAGGCUGAAUUACUCACCUCGACAGCGACAAGCGCCGGCACGACGUCAAGAACAGCGUAGUCGCACGCUCGCUCGAUCUCCUCGCAAAGUCCCGGCGUCAAAUACGUGCUCGAACGAUCCUGCGGCGCGACGUCGGCGACGAAACUCCAAGUAAACUCCUUCCUUGCUUCCAACCGGGUGGGAGAGUGAGAGAGAUGGAGAGUUGCAGCUAGAAGACCUCUCUCUCUCUCUCUACACGAAGCUAAAUAGAGGGGAGUGAGGGGUGAUACAAACGAGGUGAGAUUUUACCGUUUUAGCCCUUUACCUACUCCCUUGUACCGGUACACGGGCUCCUGUACCGGUACAAGAGCCAACCCGAGAGCAGCUAAAUCUGUGCGCGUAGCUUGUACCGGUACAGAAAACCCUUGUACCGGUACAGCAAGCAUUCCCCGCGCUGGUUGUACCGGUACAGCAUACACUUGUACCGGUACAGCAAGCAGGAAAAUCUGCUGUUUCGCAGAUUCCUUCGCUGAAAGCUGGCCUCGCGUCGCACGGAGUCCGUUUUGCGUCUAUUUGACGCCAACGCGACUCGGACUUGUCCCGACACUCUCCAGAGCUGUCGACAAGCCCCCACAGCCAAACACCAGGGAUCUCACAUUUGCUCACUGGAUAAGAAAGAGUAUAAAGACCAGAAACCAAAAGCAAAGUAGUUGGUAAACAUUGAAACUAAGUUCUGUCAUAGAUGUUAGAAGAAUUCCCCGCACAAUGGGUAUCAAAGAAGUCCAUAUUCGCCAAUCAAAGUGCUUUCUCUUUGAUAGCUUUCAGUUCUAGCAAAAAGGCCCAAGCAAAAGUUAAAUUAUUGGUAGUUAGAUGAAACUCUUUGGCUUAGAUUAUGAUCAUGAUGAGUUUACCAUAGAGCGAGGAUCUAUAACAACUCAUGCAGGAUUGUUCGUCGAAGACGGGAGAAGGUAAUCUGUCAAGAAGUUUGCCCUCCGAGAUAGGAGAGGUUGUAGAUGAUGUAUUUAUGGAACCUAAAAUUUAAGCAGCAGAGAGUAAGCUACGCAAUCGAAAGUAUGUUUUGCCGAAGAUAAAUGGAAAAUGAAGUGAGAAAAGUAAGUGAUAUAUAGCUAAAAAAUCACAUAUAAGUUAUGCUAGAUCUAAUAAUUAACCAGUAUGAUUCACUUUCUUAGAAUAAGCAUGGUUUUCUUAUUGAAUAAAGAGUGGCAUAAACUUUGAUCAUAAACAUAUUUUGCUACAGCGUUUGUUUGUAUCCAAAGCAAUAACUUGUAACAGAGUUUAGGCCUAUCGUUCGACAAACGGUGCAACUAAGGCCUAUCGGCUUUUUUUAUUCCUUUUCUUUUUUUUAUUUUUAUUUUUGGUGUGAGAUUGGAAUGUCUAAUAAUUGAGCAGGCACUAUAGUUAAUAGCCUCGUCUAAUCAACGCACAGGAUUAACUGUGCAGUGGGGCCCACAGGUAGCCGACGCUCGGCUCCAAUCACACACUAGUGGGACCCACCCACCACCACUACGGCCUAUACAUACACCUCAUACACCCAACUUAAUUUCUAAUAAUUAAUACAUAUUAUUAACAUACCAACACUAUGGCGCAGAGGGAUUCGAUUCCUUGACAUGCAUUUUUCCCAAAUAAGAAGGUAUGAAAAACACAUUAAUUAGACUUAAUUAUCUAACAAUUAAAAAAAAAGGAGCAUUGUAUGAUGUGUAUGAAUUAUGUCUUCAACAUUAAAAAUUAAGGUAGCGAACAUGGUAAUACUUUAACAAAUGUGGUGUGGAUCAGUUCUUAAAUGAUAGCGUUCAAUAAUAUUGAAGGCAAUAAUCUAACAUCCCCUGGUCCCAUGGUCUAGUGGUCAGGACAUUGGACUCUGAAUCCAGUAACCCGAGUUCAAAUCUCGGUAGGACCUUAUAUUAUUAUUAUUAUUAUUAUUAUUUUGUUAUUUAAGUUCGAUUUGCAUUGGAUAAUUGGAUAUCACCUUAAUUAUCUUUUUAGUUAUUCAAACUACAUCUUUAGUUGGUUCCAAAUCAAACUGAAUCAUUGAUAUCACCUUGUUUAUUUGUAGUUAUUCAAACUGUAUCUUUGUUUUCGUUCCAAAUUAAGCUGACCCAUUAACACCCACAGGGAAAUGGAUUGCAUAUCACCUCAUUCAUUUUUUAAGUUAUUCAAACUAUAUCUUUACUUUGGUUCCAAUUCGAACUGAAUCAUUAGGCAUUGCUGAGGUCAGAAGAUAUAGGCAUUCGAACUCGCAAUGUACAGACAUUAUCAAACUCUUUCAAAAGCUCUUCAACCUGCAUCAUCCAACAAAAGAACCAUAAGAAACAGUUUACUAAACAUGCAACUUAUCAAAGACGUAAUAGACCUACAAUUCAUGUAAUAAGGUGUUUACCAUAGCCUUGGUCUUCGAAUAGAAUGAUCCGGUAAAGUUUGGCUUGUCUUCCUCCUUGAAGCCAAUUCCUGACCCUUGAGGAUGAGCAUCAUCAUAUUCAAAUAUACAUCCAGUUGCAUAAUUCAUCAUUAACAGCCCCUGUUCCCUGCAGACAUCAGCAAGAGUCAAAGUGCCCACAACAUUGGUUCGAAUCGUCUCAGGCUUGUGUGACUCGCACCAAUCAACAUUAGGUCUACCGGUCACACCAGCUGCAUUAAAUACAUGUGUUGGUUUAACAUUCUGCUUAAAGUACUUAAAAAUUUCUCUUUUUCACGGUUGGCUUUGAAUGAUAGCAAAGGGAUCGGUUAAUUGUUAUAUAGAUCAAUGUCUUGGCAUUUGGCUAUCCAUGAAUGUUCAUCGUACUAUGUUUGAUAAAUUUUGUUUUUCUUAUCUCAUUUGAUUAAUUAGUUCUUUUGCUUUGAUCGUUUAAUUAACCUCUACCGAGUCUCGAGUCUAAGUAGUGUGAAAAGAUGCAUUAAUUAGAUCAAGCAAAUUGAUCUUCUUAUUUACAUGGAUCAGGAAGUAAAAGUGUGGAAGAAAAAACUUGUGGGAUAGCUGUGGUUGAGGUCAUCUUCUACUUCUUCUUCUGUUUGCAGAUUAGGUAAGUUAUACUAUAUCCCUUUUUUAUUCUCAGCUUUUGUUAAAAUUGCAUCACUGUCUAAACAUAUAUAUGUUUUUAAAUGUGUUUUUAAAUGUGUUUAAAUGUGUUUUCUUUUUUCAACUUAGGUUUACACCCAUUUUUUAUCUUAUCUUCUCACAAUCUUAUCAUCUAUAUUAUGGAUAAGAGCUGGAUACGCGAAUCAAGGUUUGCUCUAACACAAAUAAAGUUAUUCUUUUUCCAAAAUACAUUAAUUUGUAUAUUAAUCCAUAUUCACUUUCGAAAAUGUAGGGUUAGUGAAAAAUAUCUUCAAGGAGUUUCAAACUUUCUCGAUUUUGCAUUUUUGAAUGCAAUGCAAGAAGGGUUAAUCCUUUGCCCUUGUAAUAAAUGUACAAAUCGCUAUUGGCAAGAUAGAGAAACCGUUCUAGAUCAUUUGAUUUGUGAUGGCUUUUCAAAUGAUUAUACAAAUUGGAUCUAUCAUGGAGAAAAUGUUAAUUUGUUCUCCUCUAUGCACGAUUUUGAUAACACUGAUGUGCAUGAUGAUAUGCAUGGCAUGCUUAAUGAAGCUUUUGGUAUUUUUCAUGAACCUGAUGAAAACAUUGCGCAACGAGAACAUAUGUCUAAUGAAGAACCUAAUGAGGAGGCCAAAAAAUUUUACAAAUUAGUUGACGAUUCAGAGCAGGAGUUAUACCCUGGUUGUAAAAAGUUCUCAAAACUCUCAUUUAUUGUUAGAUUAUUUCAUUUGAAGUGUCUUAAUGGGUGGACAAAUAGUUCAUUCACGGCGCUACUUACUCUAAUUAAAGAGGCACUUCCUGCUGGUGAAACUCUCCCAAAUUCAUUUUAUGAAGCAAAAAAGAUCAUCGAUGACUUAGGUCUACGGUACAAGAAAAUCGAUGCUUGCCCAAAUGACUGUCAGUUGUACUAUAAGGGGACUUCUACUGCAAGUUCAUGCAAUACUUGUGGUGCUUCUAGGUGGAAAACUACUGAUAAUAAUGUAAAGUGUGACACAUCGACCUCUAAGAAAGUUGGCAAAAAAAUUUCAGCCAAGGUUGUGUGGCACUUUCCUUUAAAACCAAGACUACAGAGAUUGUUUAUGUCAUCAAAAACUGCUUCACUUAUGAGAUGGCAUCAUGAUGGUCGAACAAAGGAUGGAAUAAUGCGACAUCCCGCUGACUCCCCAGCAUGGAAAACAUUUGACUUUGAGCACCCAGAAUUUUCUUCAGAACUUCGUAAUGUGAGACUCGGCCUAGCAAGUGAUGGUUUCAACCCGUUUCGAACAAUGAGUACAGCACAUAGCACAUGGCCAGUUAUUUUGAUACCAUAUAAUUUACCACCAUGGCUGUGUAUGAAACAACCGUUUAUUUUUUUGUCCUUACUUAUUCCAGGACCAACAGCGCCAGGUAAUAAUAUUGAUGUGUAUUUAGAACCAUUAAUUGAUGAGUUGAAGGAUCUUUGGCUUGAUGGAUUGAAUACUUAUGAUGCAUCAAUGAAGCAAAACUUUCAAAUGCGUGCUGCAUUAUUGUGGACUAUUAGCGAUUUUCCAGGGUAUGCUAAUUUGUCAGGAUGGAGCACUAAAGGGCGUUUGGCAUGUCCUUCUUGCAAUGUUGAUACUGAAUCUCGCUACUUAAAGCAUGGUCGAAAAUUUUGCUAUAUGGGCCAUCGUCGAUAUUUAGAAACAAACCACAAAUUUCGACGGGAUAAGAUUUCUUUUGAUGGGAGCCAAGAACUUAGAGAUGCACCUGUUCCAUUAUCUGGCUCGAUGGUCUUGCAGCAAUUACAGAAUGUUGAAAACAAAUUUGGCAAGUUAGAAAAGAGAAAGCGAGGAAAGGAUGUUAAUUUACCACACAAUUGGAAGAAAAGAAGUAUAUUCUUCUCUUUGCCUUAUUGGGAGAGCAUUCUUAUACGUCAUAAUUUAGAUGCCAUGCAUAUUGAGAAAAAUGUUUUCGAUAAUUUACUUUGGACAUUAUUAAAUGAAGAUGGUAAAACAAAGGACAAUAUAAAAGCUCGUCGUGACUUGGAAGUUAUGGGUAUUAGAGACUCACUCCAUUUAAAACAAAAUGGAAGCAAAACCAUAGUUCCUCCUGCAUGCUUCGUGCUUUCUAAGCAAGAAAAGAAUAUUUUCUUCAAACUACUAAAAUCAGUUAAAUAUCCAGAUGGAUAUGCAGCAAACAUUUCAAGUUGUGUGCAUGUAAAAGAUCGAAAAAUUAUCGGACUAAAAAGUCAUGACAGUCACAUUUUUUUACAACAAUUGCUUCCUAUAGCAUUAAGGAGUGUUCUGACAAAGAAUGUAAGCUCGCCGCUUAUGGAAGUAAGUAGGUUNAACUUUGUAUUUGUGGCGGGUCUGUACGUCACGUGGGCCAGGUUGAAAAAAAAAAAAAAAAUGGCACGUUUUCCGCAACUCUGUUUUUAAAAGGCUUUUAAAAUCGGCCCCGGGGCGUGACAAUACCACUUGAAGUGUUUGGAAAUCAAAUUUCAAAAAUUUUCAACAUCACUUGCCUAAUGAUCAAAUGGUUUCAAAACUUGUAAUUUUAAUGGUCGAUAUGAGGCGUUUUCUCGUUUAACGGCGUAAAGAUAUCCAAAUCAAUUAAAUUUUUGUUAGAAAAUUUUUUAAAUUAUUUAAAACAAGAUCUAUACUCUUGAUCUUGAUUACAAGACUUCUAUCAUCAUUUUUUAAAGAAUAUUCAUUUUCAGCCGUUCAUUUUUGUGUCCACUUGAUGGAUAAGAGAACAAUAUCGAAAAUGUAUGAAAUUUGAUUAAUUCUAAACACUUCGAGUGGUAUAGAUCAUGUUUAACGGUGUCGAUCGUCGAUUUGGAGGCUCCAUCAUUGAAAAUAAAUGGGUGGCAACGGAGCCCGUUUGCUACCGAUAGCAUUCCAGCUCAACUCUAAUUUUCUAACUUAUAAUUGUAGGAAACAUAUCGACAUAAUAAAAGGGAUGAAGCGCCGAAUGCGGCCAAGGGAAAUAGAGCGAAUUCAUAGUGAGACAUUUCAUGACUGGUUUAAAGAUCAUAUAAAAGAUCGUCCUUUUAGUUUAAAUUUUUAUGCAUAGUAAAGUAUACAUUUUUGUACAUAACAUUAUUGUACUAAUUAAUGUUUUCUUAAUUUGAUGAGUAGGUUAGUAAAGCAGUUGAUGAAAAGAAUGAAAUUUUGCCGGAGGAUAUUAUCUCGCUAGCUCGUGGCCCUUAUAAAGCUGCACGAAGAUACCAAGGUUAUAUUGUCAAUGGAUUUAGAUUCCACAUCAGAGACCGUGAAAUUAAUAGAAGAACUCAAAAUAGUGGAGUUGUUGUCACUGCUCGUACAUCUAGUUAUGCUAGCGCCAAAGACAAAAAUCCUAUUGCUGGAGAUAUAAUAUACUAUGGAAUUCUCACGGACAUAAUUGAAUUAAAUUAUUAUGAGCAUUUUAAAGUGGUGUUAUUUAAAUGUGACUGGGCGGAUGUGCAUUCUCAAGGUAGAGGAGUAAAAACAGAUGAUUUUGGGUUCACGUUGGUAAAUUUCAACCGACUAUUAUUUAAAGGCCACGAACUCUCUGAUGAACCUUUUACCUUAGCCUCGCAAGCGAAGCAAGUCUUCUAUGUACAAGAUCCUAUUGACAAAGAUUGGCAGAUUGUCAUUCAUACAAAACCAAGAGAUUUAUUUGAGAAUAUGAUGAAAUUCAAUAGAUUAUAGAACUGCCUUCAACAGUACAUUGAAAAUAUAGGAAAAUGUCAUUAUUAACGAAGUAAGUAGUCUUUGCAGAUGAAGACUUGAUAUGCCCGAAAUUCAAUUGACACGUCUUAAUCAACCCCAAGAUGAAAUGGAUUGGAUGAUCAGAAUGGAAGAAAUAAAUGGUCUAAUUGAAUGUGAUCUGGAAUUUCACUAGUAUAGAAUCCUUUGAAAAUAUCGUUACUUUUUAUAAAAAAAAAAUAUAAAAAGUCUUAACCGUUGAUUAAUAGACUAAAAUUAACUUAAUACUUAGUCAAGUAAAAGAAUUAUUUUAUUCAAGGUUAAUGGUAAUUAAAUAAUAACAUCAUUUAAAGAAAUUUAAUUGAGGUCCUAAAUUUAUGCAUUAAUAGUCACACUAAUUUAGGAAAUAAUGUGAUUAACAAAUCUUAAUAAACUAUAUUAGCAUUAAUUAGGAACACCUUAAAUGGUUUAGUCUUCUACAAUAGCAUAAUAAAUUAUUAGAAAUUUAGAUAUAGUUUAUUUCAAUACAUGAAUUUUAAAUUUUAAAAAAUAAAUACUUUAAAAUUAAAUGAAAAAUUUAAUUACAGAAAUUUCAAUGUACAUAUAAAAACUAAAUUUCUCCCAAGAUUUAAAAGACAUUUAUCGCAAUCACGUUAACAACUAAUGCAUAAAAAAACACUAGAAGAUAAAGAAUUUCUACACUAGAAUUUCUCAGAACGAAUUAUAUUAACUAUUAAUUUAAUUCAAUAAUAAAAACAUAUGAAGCCCGAUUGUAUUACUGACUCAGACUUUGACCAUUCUAUCAAGAAUCUGAUUUUGACCUUGAACCGAAUAACAUAAGAACACUUGAACCAGUAACAGAAAUAAAUAUCUAAACAGUAAUAAAUAAUUUAACUUUAAGUAAUAAAUAUUUAAAUAAAGUUAAACAUAUAAAUUAAAAAAAGAUAUAUGAGAAAAAAAUAGUAGGAAUUUGAAUUCGAAUCUGACUAACAAUCACAAAACUUAUUCCGAACUUGGCACGAGAUUUCAAAAUCCAUAUCCAAAUUCGAAAACUAACCAAUUUUUCGGAAACCCAAAACAAACAUAAACCAGAUAGACUAGAAUUCAAACAAUUAUUUCUGUUUACCAUAUUUCAAAGUAUUUAUAUGAAACUUAAAUUUUUAAAAUAUAAAUUUGAAUAUAAUAUUAAAUUUUAAAUUUAAAAGUGAAAUUUAAAUUAGAGAAAUUUUAUAUUACUAUUUAAAGUUUAAAUUCAAUGAUCAUAUUGUCAAAUCAUUUGAAAUUUUCCUUAUAUGAAAUGCCAAAUUAUGAAAGGAAAGAUAGAGAGAGCAAACGGAAACAAAGAAAAAAUAAAAAUUUUGAAAAUAUAAUAAAUGUAAAAUGACUAAAUUGCCCAUGUAUUAAAAGACAAAAAUAUUCUUUUUUGAGGUACCUGGUAACCGAUACCUCUCCCAAAGUGACCUGCUAUUGCAGGUCACAAUUUUAAAAAAACUAAAUCUGAGUCGUUGAAUACGCGUGAAUGAACGGUAACCAAAAAAAAAAAAAUAUAGAAGCAUUACUCUAUUUUUUUUUGACAAUUUAAUAUAUUAUUUUAUUAAUCUAUUUGAAGCUGCAAUGGUUAUGUUAGGAUAACUAUUUGUGAAGUUUGUUUACGCAAUAUUUUUUUUCUUAUUAAAAUUUGUCUUCUAAAUUGUUCUUAUGAUUUAUCGUAUUUGCAUUCUAAUGUAGCUUAUUUUUUUCUAUAUGUAGAUGGACUCUAAGGGUAAAGAGAGAAGUUCAAAAAGGCCAUAUUUUGAUCAAAGGGACUAUGGUGAGAUGCUUUUUGGCUCGGACCAUUUUCUACAUAAACUUUUGCGAAACGAACAUCAUUCUACUAAACCUCUAGAAGAUCAGCCCCCCUUGUCACUUGAGCACGCACUUCAUCAUUAUAUGAAUCAUCUAGUUUCUAGCUUGCACCAAGAGCAACGCCCAUCACUUACUUCUGAAAUUCCAGAUAACAAUAUUCCGGUCCAAAUAGGGUCAACACAGAACCAGCAUGAUCUAGCUAAACAAUUAUCACGACAACAUCAUGAUGCUCAGUCUAUUCCUAUCCUCGAGUAGCCGCAUAGUGAUCCAGCUAUAGACAAACAACCUAUUUUCGGAACUGUCUGGAGUCAGCAAAGUGAAGAUCCUCUACAAAAUUCAAACAUGCCUGAAGAUUGUGAAGAUGACUGUCACGCCCCGGGGCCGAUUUUAAAAGCCUUUUUAAAAUAGAGUUGCGGAAAACGUGCCAUUUUUUUUUUUUUUUUUCAACCUGGCCCACGCGACGUACAGACCCGCCACAAAUACAAAGUUCCUCUGUCCACUCGGACAGAGUCUCCUUUGUAUUGCGGACAACCAGUCAACGUAAAAGCGAUAACCACAAUCUACAUUUACAAUCAACAACAAGUCAUGUAUAUGGCUUUCCUAAGCUUCCACUCUUGAAUGAUGCAUGGCCUCUAGCUUUAGGCGCUGGAUGAUAAUGAAUCAAAAUCCUAUUUAAAGGUGCUCCACGACGGCUUUUUGUUUUUAACUUAAUUCUUUAUCAUAAAACCAUUCGAACCUUUUAACUGUUGGCCAAACGGAAUCUAUUUGAAGACUUUGCCUCCGAGGGGUAGAAACACAGAUAUGUAAUACCAGAAAAUCGUAUAUAAAUCAUAUCCAUCCACAAACCUUGUUUACAUGCAUAAUACGAGUCCCCAGAAUCUACCAAACCAUCAACUUUCACAUAAGAUCGUUAACUGACCAUUACUAUCUAAGCUAUAUCAACAGACUGUAAGGGUGAAUAAAGCGAUACCUGAGUUCGGAAGAUCUAGCGCCUACGAAGUGUCUCAGUUAGUCUCAUUCACUAGCGGCGUCUGAAAAUAGGUGGGGGGUGCGACAAUGUAAAUGUCUCUCCAGUGCUACGAAGCGGAUGAAGCGCGAGGGUAUCCGGUCGGGAGAGUAACAGUAGGAUCGCGUAAUACUAAUAGUAAGGNNNNNNNNNNNNNNNNNNNNNNNNNNNNNNNNNNNNNNNNNNNNNNNNNNNNNNNNNNNNNNNNNNNNNNNNNNNNNNNNNNNNNNNNNNNNNNNNNNNNAAAAUUAUUUUCAACUGUGAGAUUGUCUAAUUUAGGGGGAGUUUGAAAUUGUUUAAAAAUAAAAAAAGGAGAAAAAGAUACUCCAAUGUUCAAAAAGAUGUGGAAAGAGUUACAUCCAAAAGGAGUGUGAAAACUACUACCACAUGUAGGAAAGAGCUACCAUCCCGGUCGUCCGGCAAGCGUGUGAAGCUACCACAUGGAAUUUAAUUGAAAAAGCCGAAAAGGUUGAAAAAAUAUAAAUAUUUUAAAAUUUUCGGAGUAAUAAGGUGCUAGUUUGAAAAAGAUGCUCAAAGAGCUACCCCCGGUGCCAUAUUAGUUAAAUCUCUAUUUUGAAUGUGUUGCGACAAAUUAGUGUCAAUUUUGUUGAAUUUCUCAAAAUCAUUUUUCAUCAACUUACAUCUUGAAGGUUUUGAAUCAUUAAAUCACUUUUGAUAAUGAAAUUUUGAUGUUUUGAUGGAUUUUAAAAUUUUAUAAUAUUUUAUUUUCAUUAUAAUGAUUUUUGGAGUAAAAGCCUUAAUUAUAUGAAUUUAAUUUAAAUUUGAUGAGUUUUUAAAGGAUAAUUUUUGAAAAAAAAAUUUUACAUUUUGGUCCUUGUACCGGUACAAGAAAUCGUGUUCCGGUACAAGGUCUGUACCCGAGCAGAAUAUAACCGGGUAUAACGCUUCGAUCUCUCUCAAAUCUCAACCUUUUUCGAAAAUUUUUGUUCAUGAGAGCUCCAGCGACUCUUCUUCAACCGUUCUACACGUUCUCCCCUUGGAUUUGUAAGUUUUUAGCAUCAAAUUUGUGAGUUUUAUCCCGGUUUUGAUAUUUUCACUGUUUUUGCGGGAUAAGGGUUUGAUCUCUGUGCUAAUUCGUUUGUGAUGCAAUUUUUUGCUAUAGAUCAGUGUCUUAGGCUAUUACCUUGCUUGUAGAACACUUGAACAACAUUAAAACAAGUUAUUUUUCACUGAUCUAAGAUUAUGCUCUAAUAUGCAUGUAAUUUCGGGAUUUUUCAAAAAGUUCGAUUUUUGCUGAAAUUUUAUGCAUGAUCUGGUUAGAAAUAUCAUUUGUAUGCAUUCUAAUGUUAUUAGAAAUUUUUUCGCUAUUUUUACAGAUUUUUUCAAAAAAUUUUGUUCAUGUAUGCAAUUUUUUGAUAUAGGAAAAUGACGUUUUUGCUCGUAUUGGCAUUGUUGAUGCUAAUGGCUGGGAGACGGAGCCGUAGUGGUGGUAGAGGUCGUCAUGGGGUUUCUAAAAGGACACGCACAACUGAAGAAGCGUCCGGGUCUAAUCCGGAUUAUCAGGCGAGCUCCCCGGAAGAACCUGAAGAACCUAUUGCUCGACUUGACAAGGGCAAAGGAAUAGCUGGCGAAUCAUCUCAUGGUGGUGGUUCUCGUACUCGUGAGGGACGUACAAAACAAGCUACGGAUGUCCCUCCAGCACGGCAAAGGUUGUUUGUGUCGAAGUCGUGCAUAGCUGAACGCUUUGUGAACUUUAAUGACCUGGUUCGGGAUGUUCCUGAUUUUGGUCGACUGCUAUAGCAUGCACCUAUUGAGCCAGUUGGACGGGUCCCGGCCAAGGCUCCUUUCUGUGUGGAACUCAUUCGGGAGUUCUAUAUGAAUGGAAAAGUACUUGCUGAAGACGAUGACAAAGGCACUUUUAUUUUUGAGACUAUUGUGCGACAGAGGAGAUUCCCAGUUACCCCCUACGAUAUUGGAGAGCUCUUGGGAAUGAAUGUGGACACUACCGGUCUUCUCUAUACGUCAGGAGGAUUCCAAUCGUCAACUCACAUGGAUAUCGUUAUUGGAGCUAUAUGUAAGGCUGGUGUUCACAUGACUCAUGGUUACAUAGAAUCCAAGGAUUUAUUACCAGAGUACCACUUGUUAUCUUUGGUCAUGAGCUACAAUGUUCAACCAACCAUUGGCACAAAGAGGAUUCGUUGGGAGAGAUUAAUGUUGCUAUAUCUACUUGGUCAUCCCGCGCAGGCUCAUGGAUUGAAUAUCAACAUUCCAUUUCUGAUCUGGCAAAGAAUGAUUUGCAAAAAUUAAAGAAGAAGGUGAACAACAUUGGAAGGAAAGUUGAGUCCAGCAUCAAAAUGUUUGAGUUAAGUAUCAAAAGAUUGAUGGAUAAGAUGGGGUGUCGACAUGAUGAUAUUUGGGAACCUACUCCAUCUUCUGCCUCGUAUCAGCGGUCAUCUUCACGACAUCCUCUCAUUCCACCGUCUGGUGAUGCUCCUAAGGCUGGGGGUUCUGGAGCUGGUGUUGGCGAUGAUGAUGAUGAUGACGAGGACACGGAGUGAUUUCUUCGUCGAGCUUAGUCUUUCUCUUUCACUACAUUUGUAUUUUAGGAUGAUGUUUUAUUUUAGUUCUGUUUUUUUUUUUUCUUUUAAGCCUGUAACUAUGACUUGACUACGCUUAUACUUUUCUAGUAUGUUUUCUCUCUCUAUUUGCUUUCUUUUGGCAAUUUUUGACAAAAAGGGGGAGAGCGUAGAUGAAGGAAGAGAGCAGAGGGAGAGCAUGGACGAACAGGCAUUGAACUAAAGUAGAGGAUGAUGAGUUCAAAAACAAAGGUGGAGAUAUGAACAAAGGGGGAGAAGGUAUAAGAAUUUAGUGCUAAUCAUCUUUGAAUGAAUUGUUUUGCAGGAAAUCAAGACUUCAAGACUCCUAGUUGCGUCUAAGUCAUAGAGUCUGUUUUAGGAGUUUUUGAUGUAAUUUUGAUUCUCAAUUUGUAUUUGGACUACAUGCGAGGGGUUCGAUGUUUUGGUGAUGACAUUGAACUUCAUUUUUUUUAGAUUGUAAUUUGUGAGUUUGUGUGUGUUUUGUCACGAAAUUGCCAAAGGGGGAGAUUGUUAGGUCCUAUGUGUUGGCAAGUUUCGUGGGUCGAGUCGGAGUCUUGAAGAAGUCCGCGGAAGCGGAGUAUUGAAAGAAUCGGAAGGACUGCAAAACACGCACCAGAAUAGUGAAUCACGAGGCUUAGGUUAAGCUUUUAAAAUCUUGUUAUGGGGGAUUCACGUACUUAAUUAUAGGUUUUAGAAUCAUUGUUUUCAAUGUAAUUGAUUAGAGAAGUUUUAAAGCUUGUAAACCUCCGGAAACACUAACCAGUACACUGCUUUAGGCAAAAUUGCAUUGUUGUAUCCGGUACAAGGGUUUUCUGUCCAAUGUACACUCACACGUUUGCGAGAAAAGUUUGAUGGUUUGUUCAGGUACAUUACAUCACGGCUGUCCAAGGGUACAAGCCCUGUUCCCGGAACAAGCGCAGGCCUGUUCAGGGUACACGAAGCUUCCGCAGAAAAAUCUCGCGUCCCCUGCUGUAACCUGCCUGGAAAACCAAGCUUUUUUCUGCUUCCGGUACAAGGUGCUGAUUUUGGACAAGAAACUUCUAAAUCCUACUCCGUUUUGAUUCUAAAAGACUAUAAUAAGCUAGAGGGGUUUCUCCUAACUGAUAGGAUCAUAAGAAUAUAUGGUUGAGCAAAGCCCCUACGAAGGCUCGGAUUUCAUUCUACAACGCUAUUUCUACAAAUUAGCUCCUUAGAUCUAAAUCGAGAUAACGUUUCGCAUUGCUAUAGUCGAUUGAUCUAGUCUUCGCUGUGAGUUCUAUUCGCUGGUUUUCAUACAUAACUCCUAAGCGAUAGGAUCACCAUACAUCAUGAUGCUCUCAUUGAACAGCGUCGUGGAUGUCGGCGUGAGCAAAGGCGUUCGUGGAUUCGGAAUCGCUGGCCUCUGAUGGAUUCGAGUGCGUCGUGGAUUCGGGCGUGAUUGAGCUUCGUGGAUUCGAAGUGGAGCGUUCGUGAUUCGAACGUGAGGGCGUGUACAACGCCAGGAGGGUAGCAAGAUUCAUAGAGGUUUAAGAGAGGUUGACGCCGCGGAGACCGGUAAUCACCUGUAAUCUUUUCUCUGAGUGAUAUUUUUUCCGCAGUGUUGGUCCGUGGUUUUUCUCCAAGUUGGAGUUUUCCCACGUAAUUCGUGUGCUUUGUUAUUUUCCGCAGUUUAUUUUUAUUGGAUCGAGAUUUGUGGUUUUUGCCGUUUCACGACACUAUUUCACGCCCCUCUGGUUGAUAGAUACAAUCUAGAUAGUAUCCUGGGCUCCUGCAAAAUCUUUCAUCCUCUGCUGCCCUCCGGACUGGCAUUUUGUGUUUUUGUAACAUCGGCCCUUGCCAUUUGCCGAUGGUUGGACAUUUGAGCUUGCGGCCACUGAUCUACAGGCACAUUGCCGGUUGACUUUACCGUCUCAAAUUAAUUCUUCCAAAAUUUCUCUUCCUUUCCCAUAGGUCUCGGCUAGGACUGUAUGCGAGUUCAUUGACUAAUCUCCGACCAGACUCUAUGACUCCUUCGGAUCAUCUCCUUCGAACUCCGGUCAGUCUCUAACCUGGCUUCGAUGCCUCUAGUGUGGUCGUGUACCCCUCAAGAAAUCUCUGUUUCCAAAGCUGAAUGUUUCUACUGGAUGUCUCCAUCGACUGUGAUGCUCUUCCUCUCUGCUAUUGUAAUAAUCAAUGCAGAACUUUCUUACAUCAAUAGGUCUUUUCUGUGUUUGAACCGAAUCGGACUUCCGUUCAGACUCAUUAGGAGGCUUCGUCCGAGCAUCCUGCUGAUUUGUCAUGCUGUCUUAGGAAUCUCUUCCCAUUCCUCAAGAGCCGCCAUCAUUGUCUCAUCCAUUUGUUGGCUUCUUUCGUUGUCCGUUGAUCGAUCGACUUCCAAUCCUUUCUUUGUCAUUUCGGCUUGCACUUCCAUGCAAAGCGAAGUAAGCGUCUCCUCUUGAUCAUAAGUAAUGUUUCAAGCGGUCUUCUUAAUCCGCACCGGCUUUUCCUUUGACAUUCCACUCAUUUUAACCUGCGAAGGAAAUGGAUUCUUGUCAAUUUAUCUAUGUUUUUAUUUUCUUGUCGCAAAUAAGACCGACCUCUCAUUUUUCUGUCUUUUUGAAUCCUGCCUCCUUAAAGGCAGUACAUCUCAUUUAGUCUUAUGGCUCAUAAAUGGUGCCAUUUCAAUACUUCUUCUUUUUCAAUUCUUCUAUCAUGGGAGGGGUAUAAGUUUGACCCUCCUGUAUGAAUUUCGUCUAUCUUUUAACAACCGUUUAAAAAUUAAAAUCCAUUUCAAUGCAUCAAAAGAAUAUGUAGUAAACAAACUGCAAACUCGUCGCUUUCAGCUUACUGGAUUUAGAAGGCUUCAAUAAUGCAGCACUUAUAUGGUUGACGGUUUUUAAACGCAUCUCACAGCAUAUUAUCUCGCUUCAUCAGCACAAGAUCUUUAGGCCUCUUUAGAUGAAUUCGGGCUCAUGAGCCGAAGACUCUUUCAAAAAGAAUAUGUUUUUCUCUUUUCCUUGCUCGCAGAUCUUUGUUUCGGCUCGCACACUGGGCCGAAUCCUCAUUAUUCCUUUUCGGAAUUGCUCAUAAUUGACGGCAACCGAAUUCAAAUCAAAUAAAUUUGAAUAUUGAUCUCAAAUGAUCUUUAAUUUUGAAGUGUACAGCCAUUGACAUGCCAUUUUGGCAACCUCUGACGUCGCGGCAUUCUCACAAAACAACCGCUCCUAGUCCCGUCUUUAAAUCGGUUCAAAUAUUUUUCAAUCGAUUCGCCCUGUUCUCUUUAUGAACUGAGCCAAAAUCGCAACCGAUAAUUCCGUCUAUGUUCUAUUAAAAUUGUUCAUGAACUUUCCUUCUAAUUUGUCCUGCAAUCUCGGACAAUGAGGAAAUUAGUCCGGUAGAACUUGUAACCAAGUGAAAGUUGUCUUGGUUAAUGAAGUGUUAAAAUAAUCUUAAUUUUUAAAAAUGGUAUCUGCCGCAGCCUCUUCGCAAUUGUGCUGUAAAACCGUGCCAACAUGCUUGACCGUAUUUUCGUCUAAUCUUGCGGAAAACCUAUCAAACUUCGACAUUUUGCAGUUUGCCGGGUAAGGAUGUUCUACAUCAAUGUUUUUGCCGGAUAAGGUAGCUCUGAACACCAAGCGCAUUGCCGGCCUUGCGCCUACCCCGAAGGUAUUUCGGAUGGGCUUCUCAGCAGUGCAUAUAUUUCAUUGUUGUUCCCAUAGUAUGUGGAAAUUGCGCUUGCGUGCUAUUUCGAUCCUGUGGCGGUAGACCGAAAUUUUGUACUACAUGGGUUACAUCCUUGUAUAUUCGGAGCUGCCCUAGCAACCCUAUAAUUUGGGGCUGUACUGCUACUGGUGGAGGAGUGAACCCCCAUGCUAUCUAUGGCUGAUUGACACGGCAAUUAACUAACAGCCGGGUCUACGUAAGCCGCUGUGUAAAUGGGCCCCCUGGUAUGAGGUGACCAUUUACUCCAGUGUUACAAGGAUUUAUAACACUGAGUUGUCAUCAACAGGCCCUUAUAACGCAUUGCCGGUUGCUCAUUCGAGUCGAACAAUUGCUAUUCGGGCAUAUUCUCAUCUCGAGACCGUAAUUGCGACAAUACUACUGGGCAUCAACCCGUACAGUGCCCUUCCUAAUAAACUAUUCUGGCCAAAACUUGUUAGGACCGCGAGUCAUUUGUCCAAGCGCCUGAGCCAAACUAAGGCUCAUUGUUUGUCGAUUUACGCUAGUACUCACCUCUGCCGUGCAGGUAAGACUCUUGGCAACUCCACAGCAUUAUCCGAAUUACUGGUUGUUGGUACGCUCAGAACUUCUAGGGAUGUAACUCUAUUGCGCAAAUUCAUGGCAAAUUAUCAAAUCAGGGCCAUUAUAUCAAAAAUAAUAAAAAUUACGCUUAAAUGUGUCCCACCGGGAGUGCUAAAUUAUUGCGUGUCUGUCAUGCCCUGGGACUGACGGAGGCCGCUCCCGGGUAGCGUGCCCAGACCCGCCAUUGUCUACACAUAUAAGCAAUCUACAAACAAUAGCGGAAAUAAAAGCAAGGGAUAUGAAACGUAAAGAGGAACAAUAACUAUGAUAUCAGAGCAAGUAAACUACUAAUACUAGUAACAGCAGGGAAGAAAAGAACUACUCACAAAGUAACAUAAAGUAAUACAAUAUCCAUCUCCAGAAGUACAGCAAAAGGAGUGGUCCUCUAUAAAUGGUACAACUCUCAACGUUCCCAAAAGAAACAACGAGAGGUAGACCACAUAUCAACGCGUCCUCUGAUAGCAAGCUAGCUUGAAGGGGAUACUCUUUCCGCAGUCCGUAGCCUCUCCAGCUGUGGAAAGGCAUUUGAAAUAACAUCAAGAAAAAGAGGGCGUGAGAACUAUAAUUUAUACGUUCCGCAGUGGCAAUGUACUGACCUCAGCUCAAUACACCACAGCCCCAAAAGAAAAGAGUAUCAAAAGCAACAAUAAUAAUAAAUGAUUGCAUUUAUGAAAGCAUAAUAGAAUCUAAACUACCAUGUCGCAAGGUAAACAUGAUUCAAUGUGUUUGUACAGUCUACUCUAUUCAUGAUAAAGUAUGUCAAUGCAUGACUAUAUGUCCAUCAUGGCCAGCAAUAGCAUUAUGAUCCAUUCUAUCAAUAUACUGAUAAAAUAUACUCUAUCGUGCCAACCAAGUAUACUAUGAAGCAACAAAGUAAAACUAAUCAAGUAUACUACAUGUCCAACGCUAGCGCCAAAAGCAUGUCAAAGUAAUCCAACUACUAAGGGCCUAUCGUAGUAGUGAUUUUCAACAUCCCGGUUUUAAUGUUACUUUUCAUUAUGUUCUAGGAUUACAUAAGUGUGUCGCAGCUUGGUGCCAGCCAUAAGUGUCGGUGGUUGCUCCAGCAUUCCGACUCUAGGAAUGAGUCUAUCCCUGCCCGCCCCAUAGGUUUCUCGAUACCGCACGAGCAAUAUAAGUCCACGUAGGUCCAACUCCGGAGUGCCGACUUGUAGGGAGCGACUCUCACAAGCAUGUGCGAAUGAGCACAAAUGGCAAACAAGCAUAGGUAUCGUCGCAAGAACUAAGUCAUCAUGUCUCAAUGUGAAGGUUCACCGUUCAAUAAAUUCUACUGUCAUAUGACCUUAGGGCUUUACUAAGUCCAAAUCUUUUCCAGAGUACUAGUGCCGCUUUAUACACUAGGUUUCACUCGUCAACACAGUAACGACUCAAGUGCUCCUUUAUGACAUUGGCUCAAUAGUUUGCUAAUAACACAAGUCCCGAGCCUCCUUUUAUGGCAAUUAUGCAUGACCCGUAUGUCCAACAGGAGAAGUUAUGUCUAAGAAGCACAUUAACUUCUCAUUCUCACUAUAUAGAACCAUGAAUCUUGGUCCUAUCUAGAUGUUAAACACAUGUAUAAGUCUCACAUGCCACUCUCUAUCUAUGUAAGGAAGUGAAUUCCUCUGAAAUUCGAGGAUUUGUACUUCAUGCCAGGACUGACUAAUCUGUCAAGAGUAUACACCUUUGUCGGAGUUGGAGUUCCAAAACACAAAAAAAAUGCUUUGGAGUUGAGUCCCGAGAGCAAAUGGUGCACUUUUAGCUGAUGUUGCUCUCAGGGGAACGGCGGUCUCUGGACGUGAGAGACGCGGUUCCCUUGGUGGGGUGUAGCGUUCUUGGUGCAACACAAGUCCUGGCAGGGAGGGACCGGUCCCGAACGUGGUCUGCGAGCGAGAAAUGCCGAAAUUUGGCUAAGUCCUGAAAAUCGAGCUUCGGGGAACGGUCUCUCAAGUGAGGACCGGUCUCCGAGGACGCGUCUCCCGGGAAGACGCGGUUCCGAACUGCGUGCGCUCCGAGGGAAGCUCUCGGGGACGCAGUCCAAGUCGGGAGACCGGUCGCCUCGCCGCGAAAAACCCAGUAAGUGGCUGUGCAAAUGGAUGAACAGUGAGGGGUCUAAAUGCAAAAUGCCUUUAUUAACAGUGCUGUAGCCCUCUCUCUCCUCACAUUCAUUCAUUCACUCUCUCUCUCACCCUCUCUUUCUCUCUUGCUCUCCUCUAGAAAAGAAAGGAGAAAAAGAAGACAAGAAGAGAGGAGGAAAAAGAAAGAGAAUGGAAAGGAAGGAGAAGAAGAAGGAGAUCAAGGAGAAGGCUUUAGCUACCUUCAUCUCUCCUCUCCUCUUCUUUGGUGUAGCUCUUGAGGUAAGCUACAAACCGCUAAUGUAAGGUACCGGGACUUCUAAACUAUUAAGUUACGGUUUACAUUCGAUUGGGAAGCCAUUUGAAUGGUCCCGGUGAAGUUUGAUGAGGUUCGGAGCUAUCGGGUGCUUCGUGCGCGUAGGCGCUAAAACGGACCCGAAAGGCUGAGUUGGGCCGUGAGCUAAAUCCGGCAUUAGCGUGGAUGAAAAGAUGAUGAAAACAUGCUCGAAAACAUAUUUGAAGAGUCUCGGUUCGAUUUGAAACGAAUCGGAGGUCAAACGAGCGAAAACGGGCGAAAACGGAGAAGAAACGGUGAAAAAGGCUGAAAUUUGGCUAAGUCCUUGAGGCUGAGUACUGGACCUUCGGGGACCGGUCUCUCACCGCAAGGACCGGUCUCUCAGGGACCGGUCUCUCACCGCACGGACCGGUCCCCGAGCGCGAAAAUGGCCCCCACGGGGGCAAUGUAAUAAAGUGAAAGUUGAGGGGUUUUUAUGCAUAUUUGGCAUUAUGAGGGUGUAUAGAAGUGGGUUUUAGCCCAUUUCUCUCUUCUCCCUCACCCCAACACCACCUCUCUCUCUCUCUUAACGUGAAGAAGAAGAAGAGGAGAAAGAAGAAGAAAGGAAAAAGAAUGAAGGAGGAGGAGAAGAAGAGAAUCACCACCACUAUCAUCUUCUUCUUCUUCCUCUCAACCUUGGAGCAAACCUAGAGAGGUAAGCUUCUAGGGCUCUAAUGGUAACUUCUUAGGGUUUGGUUUAUACACCCUAAGGAUGGUUUAGAUGCAAUCCUAGCAUGCUAUCUAGAUGAAUGAUACCUAAUUCAUGAAGGUAUUUGGUGGUUUUUGCAAUAGUAGCAUCUAGGGCAUCAAAAAUGGGAUUUUUGUAAAUAGUUGGGUUUGAUCUCAAAUAACACUCUGUAAACCUAAUUGGUAGGUCCACGAACGCAACGGUGCGCUUGGUUUGGCGAUCCGACGAGUGUACGCGGAGAUAUUGAGGAUCGAAGCCGUUAAGGUACAGAUUGCCGCAGCUCGCGGCGAAGGCUUCCUAAAAUCAUGGAAAUGGAAUCGUAGCAUCGUGGUGUCGUGGAAUAAACUCCAGAAUAGACGGAUCGCGGAUUGGUGGCCGUUCGGGUGGUCGCGCAAGAGUUCGAGCCGAACCAGGUCACGGGUGCCGCGGGAGGCCGAUUGCAAGUGUCGACGAGCAAUCGGAACGCGAAUUAAGGUUGGUUGUGUUUACCGAAGCGACUAGGUCGCCCUUUAUGUCCAAGAUGAUUAAGAAUCCAUGUUGAUGCAUAUGAAUGUAAAUGAGGCAUAUAGAUGUUGCAUAUAAAUGUAAAUAAUGCAUGUUAAUAAUAUGAUGCAAAUGCUAAGUAGAUCCAUGUAAAAUGAUAUGUAUGUGUGUAUUGGAAUAUAUGCUAGUUGCACUUAGCAUUGUGAGUUCAUGCUAGAUAGUAAAUGCAUAUUGGCAUCAUAGAAUGUAUGCGAGAUGAAAUGUGGAUAUCUAUAGUACUCGUUAUGACAAAUAGGAUAUCAAGUAGAUCGAGUGGCAUUAACCUAGUGUUAAUAAACAUAGGUCGGACCUAGAUGACAUUGAACCUAGUGUUGUUGAACCUAGGAUAAAUAACGAGUGGCAUCUAACCUAGUGUUAAAGAACAUAGGUUGAGUAUGAACCUAGAGUCGGGAUCUAGGUGUGUGGCAUCUAACCUAGUGUUAAAGAACAUAGGUUGUUUAUGAACCUAGAGUUAAGGUAAACCUAGGUUGUGGCAUCGAGGCAUUAGACCUAGAGUCAGUUGGACCUAGGGUGGAAAGUGCAUUGGACCUAGAUAGGUCAAUAGUAUAGGGUUGGAUAUGGACCCUUGACUUGUGAAGUCGAUUCCGGAAUCCCAGUACUUGUGAACUCAAUAGUUCUUGGACCGCGGGUGUAUGCGGCGAUGUUCCUCUCCCACCGGAAAGAACUUUGAGGAUUAUGAUUAAGCAAGAACAAAGAGCGCUAGGGUGCACGGCAUGUUCCUCUCCCUAUCGGGAAUCUUGGCCAUGGGUGUACGCGGCUAUGUUUCCUCUCCCAUUUGCGGAUCCCUGACCACGGUGCACGGACCUUCGGGCGGACCGUUGGGCGAUGUAGUUCUUGGCUUGCAGGCUGAGGUGCAUGCGACAGGAUCCUUCACCUCGAGCCGGGCAGAGCGCGGAUUAUCCGCUGUUGAUUGACUCGAGGCCUAGUCGGGUGGCUAGCUGGAAUAAGGUAGAUAGAACCUUGAGGGCUAGUGGUAAAUGUGAUAACCUAAGGUGGUGGAAACCUUAGAGUUGGAUGACAUGAGCUAAGAUUAGCGAGAUUGAUUGUAGAAUCAAUAAUUCUACUAGUUGUUGCAUAUAUCCCUGUUGCAUAUAGCAUGACAUCAUUGCAGUUGUGAGGCAAAGCAAGGUAAAGUUAGUUGCAUGUUUAUGAUAUACAUAUCUAUCUGUUUAUUGGACUAACUUGUAUUUGCCUCUCUUGGACCUGUUGGUCGAGCUCCUCCCUUGGGUGGCCGUACCCACUGGGAACCAUGGAGUUGGUUCUCACCCCACGUUGUUUUGGGGUUUUACAGGUUCGCACGUGAGCGGCGCGGCGGCGCGAGGCAAGGGCGUAGCUCCAUAGAUAGCGCCCUACCCCCAGAGACCAGAGCUAGCAGUACCCCGUCGGCGUAGCUUAGGGGUAUAGAAAAUGAAAGGAAUAAAAUGUAUUAAACUUGUAAUAACUUAGAUUGUAUUUGGAAGUUGGAUGUAAUAUAUAAAGUGUGAUGUAAGUAAAUGAAUCUAAUGUGAAUGUUGUAAUAUCAUAGGAUGUGUUUAUGUUGAUUGAUACCUUCCUGAUGCAAUUCUGUUUGCUGAGUACUGUUCCUGGUUGGAACCUUUGUAAUGUACAUUGUUUGGAUUGCGACGCCUAGAACGUACAGGGGAGACUCUGUCCGCGUACAGGGGAAACCCCGGUCCGUUCGGCGGUCUGUCGGCGUGCCCGAACCGGACCAAAUUGGGAGCGGUCUCGGGCGUGACACCCUAGCUUCUAAACUUUGGAGUUUUGGGUUUUGGAAUGAGUCAAAUGAACCCUAAGCAUGCUUCUAAGUAGAUCAAUCCCAUGAAUCUAGGGAUUUAUUGGGUGGUUUGCUAUGGGUGCAAACUUAGGGCUCCAAAAUGGGGUUUUUGUGAAAAUAUGAGAUUGAUCUCAUUUGAAGCCUUGAAAACCCUAUUGGUAGGUCACAAAACGUGGGGGCGAAGUCGGUUUUAGCCUUCGGCGAGCCGGCGUGAAGUUCUCGGCAAAAUAGGGCCGGAAUAGCUUGGAUUUGGGCGAGGAAGGCUAAAGCCUUUUCGUAAAGUUCGCCGAGGAGCUUUUCCCAAGCCUCUACAUCGAUUAAAGGUGGGGGGUGCCAUCCCGAAGCUUUCGAACUCCUUUCUAUGUCUCAGAUUGCAUUUAAUCUCAUCUCUUCAUGUUGCAUUGUAGGAUUGCAUAGUAGCUACAUUCCUUAUGCUUUCUAAAGGAUAACCUAGUGUACUUGGAAUGCUUGGUAACAUAGAUAGGUGAGGAUUGGGUCGGAACGUGGAUCCUAUGAUGCGAAAGGUAGAGAUGAACCUGAUGGGGGUGUUGAUGACAUAGAAAGUAGUGUUAUUGUUAAAGAACAAACGAGUGGCAUCCAAACAUUGAAUGAUGACGAGUGGCAUUAAUGUAGUGUAAAUGACACUAGAGGUCGAUGGACCUAGGGAUAGGCGGAUCUCUUAGAAAAUGCCUUGUGAACAAUGAAUUUAGAAAAGCUAAAUAGCAUUGCAUGAAUGUCGGGAACAAAUGAUUUCCGCGAGAGAUGUUGACUCUAGUUGUAGAGCAUCCUCACUUGGAGAGGAUUCGAUUGGGUUGUUGACCCUAGUUGUAGGGUAUCCUCACUUGGAGAGGAUAGAUCUAGCUCACAGUCUGCGUUUGGGAUGGUAUAGCCAUCCAAUCCCCACAUGGAGGGGAUUGUCGUCGAGUACUCCAGCGUGUCGCGCGACUAGGACCACUUGGAGGUCCGGACCACAUGGAGGUCCGCAGACGGUCCCGGGCUUGGGUGCACUUGGAGCUCCCUCCCCACUUUAGGAUUGAAAGGUGAGUUAUAGGCGAGCCCUAGGGCCUCGCCACAGAUUGGGUAAAUGGAAAGGUUUAAUAAUGUCAUUGAACAUUGCUAUUCGAACAUGGAUCGAAUUUGUUAGCAUGGUAGCAAACCUUUAUUAUAUGAUGCAUGCAUUCAUAUUCAUGAUUAUGGGCAUAGUAGCAUAGUUUUCCUACUAUCGCAUUUACAGCUUUCAGAUACAUAUCUAUCUAUCUAUCUAUCUGUUGUUACUUGUGCCCACUUGGACCUAGUGGGGAGAUCGGCAGAGUCAGCGGCCAAGCCCACUGGGAACUAUGGAAGAUAGUUCUCACCCCACUCUAUUUCCAGUGGUAGGUCCAAGGCUGCAGAGAGAGGACCGCGGCAAGGGCAUUGCGCCCGACCAGUGAGACCGUGGUAGUAUAGUAGCUUUCCUUUUUGCAUUAGUCACCUAUGUAUUGAGAGAGAUUCAUUGUAGGUGAAGAUUUGGGAGAGCCAUGUAUUUUGAGAUGGAAAAUGUAUUCAUUUAAGAAAAUGAUGUAAAUGGGAAUGAUGAAACUAUUGUAAUAGUUAGUAAAGUGCUCUCUCUAUUUCACAUAUGCAUCUUGUGGAUUUGCUUGCUCUUUGUAUUGUUGGCACUGGUUGUGUCCUUGUGGAUGUGUAUGUUUAGAAUUUAAUUUUUCCUCGGUGAAUUCUUGUACACAUUCUUGUUGCGAGCCUUGGGCGGGCAGGGGAGGUGCUGCCCGUUCGGCGGUCCGCCGCCGCGGCCGAACCGUGCCAAAUGGGUAGUGGUUUCGGGGCGGGGCGUGACAACUACAUAGAGGUCCAAAAAUGCAUUAUAUAUAACGUAAGCAUUUUAAGCAUUCUAAACUUCACAAUAAAUACAUCUAGCAUGAAAAUGCAUGAAUUUCCAUUUUACGAAACAUAAAUCACCAAAUAUAAGAAUUUCUCAUAUUGUAGGCUAGGUCAAACCCACUGGACAACGCGCGACCCUUCGUUUGCUCCAACGAAGAUGUCCACUAGCCUCCUAGUACCCUAGAGGCACAAAAACAAAGGUUAAACAUUAACCUACUAAGCAAAAGGGUCAAAAUCUCACCUAUAGUGUAGAAAUCCCUUUCCAAAGCUCAAAUGGACGCUAGAUCCCUUCCAAAGUAACCUAAACCAAAGUUCUAAUCCAAUUAGAUUAGCUCAAAAAGCCUCUAAUCAAAAAGCCCCAAAUAAACCCUAGGUUUCCCAUUCUAGGGUUUCAUCUUCCAAAAUUCACCAAAACUAAGUCUAGAAGGGAGAAACAAGCAACUAACCUCUAGGAAGCUCCAAACCAAGCUCAAAAGCCUCUAGGGUUGAAGAUUGGUCCACCACCAAGCUCCAAAAACAAGCUUCAACCCACCAAAAGGAAGAAGAGAGGGUAAGAGUGAAGCUCCAAGUCCUCAAACAAGCUCUCCUUCUCCUUCCUUCUCCUCCUUCUUCUCCUUCUCUCUCUAAAAACAAUUGGAGGGUGAAAUGAGGGAGAAAGGAAAGUGAAAUGGCCAUAUAGGCCCUCUAGUGUAACAAAAUCCAAAAAAGCCCCUCAACUUUGCAACCUGUGCAAAGCCCGGACUGGGCAAAUUUCGCCCAGAGGGACCGGUCUCUCCCCGCUUGGGACCGGUCUCUCAGGUCCAUCCCGCAAAACCUGCUCUUGGAAACCGGUCUCUCCCCGCAUGGGACCGGUUGCCUCGCAGACUGCCGCAACACUGUUCCAAAGGGACCGAUCUCUCCCACCAGGGACCGGUUUCCGAGAGUAAAAACUCUCAGGAUAAAGCUGAAUUUUCAAGAUUCGAACUUUUUAGGUUGGAACACCUUCUACGACCCUCUACAAAGCGUGGAAAAGCUCGGAACACAUCCAAUCACUCGAACCUCGCAAUUUGCACAGGUCCAGUGUGUGUACUACAAGGUUUACUCCUUGUAUAUUCGGAGCCUGCCCCCUAGCCCCUACAUUUUGGGGCUGGUAUGCUGCUACUGGUGGAGGAGGUAGUAAACCCUAUGCUAUCUAUGGCUAUUGACCGGCAUUAACAACAGCCGGUCUAUAAGCCGCUUGAAAUGGUGCCCCCUGGUAUUGAGGUUGAUCAUUUACCAGUGUUACAGGAUUUUGUAACACUGGUGUCAUCACAGGCCCUUAUAAGCCUGUUGCCGGUUGCUCAUUUCGAGUCAACAAUUGCCCUAUUCGGGCAAUAUUCUCAUUCGAUGCCGUAAUUGCGGCCAAUACUGCAUCUAACGGUGCAGUGCUUCUAUAACUAUUCUGGUCCAAAACUUGUAGGACCCGAGUCAUUUGUCCAAGCGCCUGAGCCAAACUAGGCUCUUGUUGGUCGGAUUGACCGCUAGUCUCACCCUCGGCAGGUAAGACUGCUUGGCAUUCCCCAGCAUUAUCCGAAUUACUGGGUUGUUGGUCGCUCCCAGAACUUCUAGGAAUGACUCUAUUGCGCAAAUUCAUGGCAUUAUCAUCAGCCAUUAUAUCAAUAAAUAAUAAAAAUUACCUUAAAUGUGUCCCACUGGGCGUGCCAAAAAUUAUGGCGUGUCGAAUUCCCUGGUCCUUGACCUAGUCAAAGAUCCUUCUCGGGGAGCGUGUCGGGAUGAAAAACGGCUGUGGAUAGUGACCCUCGAAGUUUGCGCCCAUCAACUGGAUCAAGCGAUUCGGCUGACGAGAGAUCGGAUUAGCCGAGUUCGAAAACUCUAUUAAAGAUUCGGUUCGGCUGGAAUGAGCCGAAUGUACAAACCAGCUACAGAUUUGACUCGGUAGAUGAGCCGAAUAGAAGAAACACACACCAGUUGGUCGGCUUGAAGAGCCGAAAGCCCUAGAAAUUAAGCUUGAGGAAAAGUACAAGGGUUGAGUGUGCCGGAUGGCAUACAAAUUCGGUUGAUCUACUUAGGACCUACUCCUAGGGAAAAAACAGUAAAUGCAAGAAAGUAAAAGUUAGAAGUAGACUACUCCUAGAAAAAUGCGAGAAAUUGUAAGGAAAUAAGGGCGGUCUUUUGUUCACAGGGAAAAGACCCCUUUUUAGGGCGUUAUUGACCUAUUUAUAGAUCACCCCUUGUGAUCAGUUAUCACUUAUACAUGAUCGGCCACUAUUCCUGAUUUUCCAGACCACUUUCAGCCGAUCAGAACCGCUUGCAACUACUUGCAGUUACUGUAACCUCCCUUAAUUUGCAUGGCGGUUCGUUCCUUAAAAACCCUUCCGAUCUCCCAGUGUACAGCAAUAUAGUUUUCUUUAGGUAGAAUAUCGGAGCACCACGUGUCUGCGCCGAAUUGACUCAACACUCUCCAAGCUUGAUCCACCAUUAGAGAGCUUGCCUCACCUCCAAGCAACCUUCAUUUCCUUUCAAUCUUUUCUUUGGUGGAAAGGUUGCAAAGAAGAGGGAAAGAGAGAGAAAGUGUUAGAGACGGAGAGAGAGGUGUUUCCCCUACUUCUCACAUGUGUGGGGUGGUAGAAAUAAGAGAGAGAGAGGCUGCGGGGACCCAUUUAUAACACCCAAAAAGUGCAGGGUCCGGACCUUGGGUUCAGGGUCCAGAACCUGUAGCCAUUUUAGGCAUUUUCACAACCAGAGUCCACUAUAUGGAUAAGGUCCGAACCCUAACACUGUGAGCACUUUUUUCAGCCUUUUUAUGUUCUUCUCAUUUUCGCUUAAAAACUCUAAUUUUUUUUCGGUUUUCCAUCCAAAUCAAAUCCAACACAACCAAAACUCCUCUAUACAUGUAAAACACUUUUAAGAUUGGAGAAUUACAAAUGUUUUCUUAUAAACACAAUUAAAUGUUUUCUUAUAAACACAAUUAAAUUUGGAAAUACAAUCAUUUCUCAAAAGUUGUCGUUCACUCCGAACUUUCUUCAAGUUUCACCGAUGCUUCUUCUAAUCGUUCCGACGCUCUUCAGAACAUCACAUGGACCUCUCCAAAUCAUCCCUCACCGCGUAUUGGCCGACUUGGUCAAAGUUCAAUACAACGCACCGGGAUUCGGUAUAUUACAUGCCCCCUCCCUCACCAGCGAGCUUCUUAGCGCCAAGAAGUGCUUCCUCUUCAUAAUCGACGGUGGUGGUGAGGACGGCGGGUUCCCAGAAGUAGGUCUGGUAGGUAGAAAAUUUGCUGUAGUGGAGGUAGAGGGCAAAGGCAGAGGAAGAGGACACAGUGUCGUCCUCGUUACUGUCGCAGAGAGCCACGGAGGCAGUUGAGGAGGGUUGGAGAGAAAUAAAAAAAUGCGUUGCGACCUCGGCAAGGUAGGAGGCGUGGAAAGCAGGGGGUGCGCGGGCGCGGGCGAGGGCGCUCGAGGCAAAGGCGAGGCGAAUCGCCUCUGUCCGCCUCCGCCUCCACCUCCACCACCCUUUUCAGAGAGAGAAAAAAAAAAAAAAAAAAAAAAAAAAAAAAAAAAAAAAAAAAAAGAAGGGGAGAGAAAUGAACAAGGAUAUUUUGGUCAGUUUUUUGAAAAUUCGGAACGAAUGUGAAAAAUCCAAAACGGUACUUUUAAAAAAAUCUCAAAGGUAAUGGAUUUUUUAUGCAAAUUGGCCUAACAUGAUUUUGGUCCGUAGAUCAAAUUUAAUUUUUUUCUUUAAUACAAUAUUAUUUGGAGGGAGGGCAUUGGCCUAGAACUAGAUUUUAUGAUGGGCCAGGCUGACCCGGUAGGGAUGGCUCAAAUGGGCCGCGACUCUGGGUCGGCUCGCAUUCAAGUUAUGCCAUGCCGGGCAGGCGACCAACAAAUCACCCGAUCCGUUUUGCAGCCCAAAUUUAAGUAUCAACCAAACAUAUGAGUCUUAACCAAAUAAAAUACAAAUUACCUCAAUAACGAGAUUAUGAUUUAUGGACAGAAAUUAGCAAACUUCAAAUUAGCUUAAAGCUUUCGGUUGAGAAGAGGAGCAAAGGACGUUCGUCUUGGUUUUGCUAAUAGAUUAAUGAGGAGAUUUUGAAAAUUCAGUUUUACACAAAAAAAAUAAUAAUAAAAAAAAAAAAUAUGCAGAAGCGUAUUUGCAAUGUAGCAAAUUUUUGGAAGAACAUAAAACCAGAGUUCAUUCAAGCAUGAUUGUAUUGACCUUUCAUUACCAAUAACAAAAGAUAAACUUCAAAGCUCACAAUUCACAAAAUGAAAGCCGACUGCGGUCGACUUGUGACAUCGACGUACUUUGGCAAGAAAACAACAUCAUUCAAACUUCAAUAUUUCUGAAACAACAAAAGAUUUUAGCUCCUCUCAUCUUGUAAGACAGAAAGCAAGCCGUCUCUCUUCGAAUGAAUACGUGAACUCCUCUGCUUUCUGUGCUUUCACCGUCGCAGCUGCUUCAUACAUGAGACAGGUUGGAGCAGGAGUCAUCGCCAUCUGCAUUGGAAUGUAAGCAGUCAUAGGAGUUUUAGGAGGUGGGGCUGCCAUUGCAGUCUUCAGAUUGUUCUUGUUCUCCUCUUCGGUUUCAUUGGAGAUCAGCCUCAAGGGGGUGGAUGGAACGUUGCUCGCAAUUACGAUUGGAGCAAAGGGUUUUCGAGGUGUUUCUGCCUCUCGAGGAGGAUUCGCUGGAUUGAAAGAUAGCUUCUUUACAGGGAGGCCGGCAAGAUCUAAGCCUCUCCUACCUGAGAUCAUUUAAAAUGGUGUGGCAAAUAGUACAGUAACCAACAAAGAUAUAACUUUGUAAUGGAACUUAAAAUUAACAGACAAAUAAAACACCACAAAAGUAUUCAUAUAUGCUAGUAUUAUUUGAAUUUUCAUAUCUUCGCUAAAAAUGCACAACAGAACUUAGAAACUCAGGAUCAAUCUACAAAAGCCAAUCUUUAAUCUACCUUGAGUAAUUCACAACCAAAUACUCCCAUGAAGUGGUUGAAUCUCCCUUAGACACCGUAUUUUCUAAUAAAAUCAAUGUCAAAGAGCAUAUAUGUGAAUGCAAACUUUGCAGGAGUAUAAAUCCGAAAACAAGUAUAAAAGGUCAUGCACUUAAAUUCUAACUUUACGUGGGUAUUCAUUUAACUAAUUAUGCAGGUACAUUUUUGUAAAAGGUCCAAGGAAAUAUAUAUAUUACCAGGCGAUAAGGUACCAAUAUCAUCUGUCUUCUUCGCUGAACGGAUUGACUUGUUCGUGUGCAGCAAAUCUGGCUUUGGCGGUUGCAUUAUGGCUCCACCAAGAGAGAGCCGCCGACUUGGAACUCCUGUAGAAGUUCUCGGCAUCUUCUUUGCGCUUUGAGGCUUUGAAGGGCUUGGUUUCGAUCCGUAGAGCGCUUCCUGCUCAGCUAUAAGUUGGCCCUGAAGUUUCUUCUGAUCCUGCAAUAAGACUUAUAAUGAGGGGUAAUCUUAUAACCAAUGCAGACUAGUACAAAACUACUUGCAUUCAGAAGGCGUAAAUUACCCUCUGUCUCUUGCGUUCUUGCUCUUUCUCCUGCCUCACUAUGGUGUACUCUUCCAGCAUGGAAAGAAGGCGAACCUGCACAAAUCAAGUAACGAAAUCAUGAAUAACCAGAUUUUCUAUUGCUAUUUUUGCUUGGAGAAUUACAAAUGAAAAUGGGUUGAAUAGUAACCAUCUAAUCCAGAUUCCAAUAUGAAGUUUUGCAGGAUAUCAAUUUACAUUAGCUAAUCUAACUUGAAUUGGGACCCAUAUCCAUAUUUAUGUAGCAUCCAGAAACACAUGAAAUAUUCUAUCUGAAUCUGUAUCCACAUCACAAACAUGUAUAAUUUUUUCAAGUAUAAUACAAUAGAUAUGCUCACAUUACUUCUCAAAAGCUCUUAAUUAGUUCAUGCCAUAUAUUUUCCAGCUACACCUAAUAUAACCUUUUAUGUAUAUUUGAAAACAAAUAGAACAUCCGUAUUUGAUACUAACACAACGAUUAUACCAAAUUAAUAUGGCUCUGACACUAGCAGCACUAUAAUUCUCGAAUUGAGUUGCAUUUCAAAAAAAUGAAAGUAAAUACACGAGUUAGCUGCAAUUAAUUUAUCCAUUUUCACCUCAACUUAAGAAUGAAAGAUGCAGUAAGAGAUCCUUACUCCGUCGUAAGUAAACUCCAAGCCCCUUUCUUUCUCCCAUGCAGUUAUUUUGGCAGCUAAAUUAUCUCCCAUUGCUGCUCAAGACCGUCAUGGAAUCAAUCAGACAUGAAGUAAACUAGAUGAAAAACUACCAACUACCAAGUAGCACCAAGAAUUGUAAUGUUAUGUUAUAGAGCAGUUGAAAAUGACAUGAUUACCCGGAAUCUUGGUAACCAAAGCUCGGGCUUUUUCGGCCCGCUUGAGUGUAAGGUGAGCACCUCUUCCCGCAUUGUAUCGGUUUUCAUCCUAAGGUAUAAAUACAAAGAUACAUAAGUAGUUGCAGAAAUGUAUGGGCUCUUGAUUGCACAGUUGAUCAAAUGCCUAACCCUGCUGUACUCCUCAAGCCAGGAUUCCUCCUCAGAUGCAGCCAACCAUUUUUCGACCCUUUCAAGAAUAUCCUUCCGGCUAAAUGCUUCCUCUUUAACUGUUGAAAUUUGGACCUCAAUUUGCUCGAGCACUAAAGAAGGAUCAAUAGCCCCUGCAAUAGAAGAGAUAAGAAAAAGAUGGUAUGGACGAUUGCAUACAUAAUAAUGCAGAUGCAACAAAAGAAAUACAAAUGGAUAGAUGAUAAAACUGGGAUCAAAAUUUUUAUGCAUGAUAAUAGGGAAUAUAGCAUCAACAUAUCAAUUUUGAUUGUAUUAUUAAUAUUACCUGCUUCAAUAGCCUCAAUUGCGAAUUCUCCUUCACAAUUUGUUUCCCCAACAAGAUGUGUCCGUCGUCGAAGCUCCUCCAGUUCAGAUUUCUUCUUCAGUACAAGAUCUUUCAUCUUGCUCGCUUUUAGUUGUUCAAGCCUCAACACUUCUGCUUCCACCUGCAACAAACAUGAGCUCUCACUACCUUAACUCAAGGAGUUUAUUGACGUUAUAGAAGAAAAACUAAAACUCCCAUCCUUUUUUUAUGCAAUCCACAUACAUAACUAAGGAAAUCGAUAGAAAGGGUAUUAGGCUCCGUGAUUUCAUCUUCUGCUGCAGCAAUGUUGCGUGUAACAUUCUGAAACAGCUGCUGUUCUUCGAUUGGAGUAUCCAUGAGAUUCCACAGCUCCAGCAUGGUACUUGCGAGAUCUUGAAGCUGCCACAUUCUAAACUAUAAGCAAUUGAAAUAUCAAACCAUUUUCUGCGUAACUCAACUAAAGCACUUACCUUUUGCAUUCUCUGGAGCUUAAUCUCUCGUAAUUUCUCUAUUGCAGAAGCCAGCCUUUGGAUCGUCUCAUUACUCAUGUUCUUCGACACUUCAACUCCAUCUAAGCUCGGAUGUACAUCGGAAACUGUCUGCUUGAAAUCUAUACCAAGUACCUCGCAUAAUAAAUUCAAACUCUUCAAGUGAUCCAUCACCUUCUUUAAGCGAUCACUCUGAGAUGAAAGAGAUUUGUAAGUCAAAAAACAACAAGAAUCAUGUUUUACACUGCUAUAGCUUAUUUAAGCUCAAUGCUGUAGGUACAACCUUCUCCUUUUGAAGACACUGCAGUUGCUUGUGCAAUUCCUCAAGCUUUCUUGUGGAUAGAUCAGAUUCAUCAACAACAAACUUGGCAGGAGUGUAGUCCGUAGGCCUGAUCUCAAGUGUGAUCUUCCUUAUUUGCUCUAUAACUUCAAGAAACUGGUUCCAUCUUUCCAUCUUUCUCUUUUGCAUCUCUUCCAAUUGUGGAGUAAUGGCAUUGAGCUCCUCCUUCAAACUUCCAGCAUUCUGAGUGGACUGAUAAGAUCACCCGAAUUACUACUAGUAAAACUAACCUACAAUUUCCCAUUAUAACUUCUAGCACUCAAGUGCAUGAAGAUUUAUUAAUUAUAGAACACAGCUUGAUAAUCUUAGCAGAAACUGCUGAAGUAAGAGAGUAGUUCAUACAAUUCUCUCCUGAUUAGCAAAAUAAAGAGGAACAAACUAGCCGCUUAGAUGAUGCAGAUGCAUGAAAAUUUUAAACUCUAAUUUCAAGCAAAUAAUUCUUUUGAGCGUAAAGUGUUAAUAAAAGAAACGGACCUGCCAAAUAUGAACCGGUCGCUCACCCAUUGCAGAACAGAUGACCGCAAGCUCUGCUUCAGCAUCAGCAAUGGCUUGCCGCAGCUGAGCUCUGCAGCGAUUGGCAAGGUCAACCUUGCAUCUAUAGACUUCCAGGCACUCUUGUUCGAGCUCGAGAAGCAUUUUGUCCCUUUCUGCAUCGGUUUCACCAACUUCAUCCCAUAUCACCUGCACUCAAUAGCAUUCACAAGACAAAACAAUGCCCAUAAUUAUAAAGUUAUUCUACAAAAAAGAACAAAUGCAUACUUUUGAAUUUUUAUCUACAGACAAGCAGAUGAUAUGGUUAAACAAAUAAUUCAUUUAUAUGAUAGGUGUCGGCAGGGAUUCUCAAUGGCUCUCAUUUGAUAAUUUGGGAAGGAGAGAAAAUCAGAGAGAAAAGAGAGAAAAUAUGCAAAAGAUAUUAUAUUUUCAUUACCUUGUUUGGAUGUAGAGCAAAAGGAAAAGAUUUAACAACUCUACCCACUGGCACUGUUAAAUUAUAUGAAACAAUUGUUAUUCUCCAAAAGCAUAAUGUCACAUGAUAUCAGAGCAGGAGGUCCUAUGUUUAAAUUCUGCGGAACCCCUAGUCUCAUUUAAUUUCCUCCCAUCUAAUUCAAGUCCCGUCUUGGACCUAUAUAAAAUCUUGAGCCUAGAUGUGAGGGGAGUGUUGAAGAUAAAAUAUAAAAACACCGUUCGCUUGUAGCUUAAGCAUUUAAAGACAAGACGGUCAUUUCAUAUGAUUUAACAAGCACUAGUAAAUCACUGGAUCUAGAUCACCGGCCUAAAAUGUUUAGGCCCGGUUAUUACUACUAGAUCCCUUGGCCCUUAUAUUCCCAAUAAUAGUCUCGUUUCCAUCCAAUGUGAGACUAUUAGGGCAUCAUAAAAGAAAACCUAUUUCAUAGGUUGAAGAACAGAGAAAAGAGAAAAUACAUCAAUACACUACUAAUGCAUCAUAUGCAUACAAUCUCAUCAGUCGUAGACAAUUAUAAUAUCAAGUUCUAAAAUUGUUCUGCAAAGAAGAUGGAGAGAAAGGAUAGCAAAGAUGUAAAUUAUUCUUUCUGAGCGUUACUAACAAUUAGAUGUACAACACCACAGUAAUAGAGAGGGACAGAACAAAAAACUAUGAAUUAUACUUUCUAAGCAUCGUAAACAAUUAAAUGGAGAGAGGGAGGGAGAGACGGGAUUCGACCAAAUGAAAAGCACAAACCGAUUCUCUUCUAUAAAGCAAAAGGUAACUCUGAAAAUAAGAAAUGUGAAAAUAAGUUGGGUCUAUUUCCUUCUUCUUCUUCUUAACUUUCUAUUGUCCCGUAAAAUUUAGUCCCAGUAAGAGAAAUAGCUUUCUCUCCUUAUUUUCUGGCUUUCUCCAUCCAAACAGAACUUAAGCAAUUACAUCAUUAUAUGCAAAUGCUACAGAAUAUGGUAUUUGAUGGGCUUAGAUUAGGGAUUAUCCAGUACAGUCUUAAUUCAGGGUAAUUUGGAUUGUUAUAGCACAUCCUCUGUAACAUAUCUUUAACAAAAACAAAGAGGAAGAAAGUAGAUAAUUAUUGACUACGGAAAAAAUUUUCAUAGUACCUGAAGCUCAUAUAGAAGAGAUCCACAUGUCGUCUCCAUUUGCAAAAGUUGAUCACUUGGGAGAUUAGUCAUCUUGAAGAAAUGUUUUCUCCUGCAAAAAAUUUAUUCAUGUAAGACAGCAUGACCAUAUCUAUAAAUCACUAUUUGAAAAGAUGGUGCAUACACCUCUAUAUGCACCUGCAUAUGCAGAUGUGGAUGCUUGGUUGCACCGCAUAUAAUUUAGAAAUGCAUAAUGAGCACAUAAUUAAGCAAUCUACUAUAGUGAAGUUUAAGCAGGUAAGUAGGCUUAGCACGACAUAUCGAUUAAUAGCUACUCUAACACAUAAAAUAUCAUACAUAAUACAUAUACUUUUGUUGAUUGAUUUCGAUUAUAGAAUAUUUUAUUUUUAGGAUUUUUUUUUUUUCCUAAAUAUAUUGCAUAAAACUUUGAUGUUAAACUGUUCCAAUGAUCUAAAAUAUGUAAAGUCAUUAAAAAUUCUAUAUAUCAUUUAUUUCUCUUCUUCUAUGAUGAUGAAUUCAUUUUUCUUUGGCUCUCAAGUAUUUUUUAUAUUUUUGUAAUAAUCAUUACGUUAUUUACACUUAUAUGAACCGCAUAUCCACCUACAUAUCACAUAAGCGCAUAUGCACUUGCAUACCACCUAAGCGCAUAUGCACACUAUUGGAAAUAAAUCUUGCUUCUAGAAUGUUGGAAAUAAGUCUAUUCUUUUAGUAGAAAUAUGUAUUUUUCAAAUAUUUUGAUUCGAAAGCAUUAAACAACUGUUUUGAAAAAUCGCAUGCAAUAAGCAAGGUCAAAUAUUAUAAAAAUAAAGAGUUCAAAUGAGGCUUGCGGAGGCGUGCUACGCAUUAUCCUAGAAGCAAGAUUGCCCCUCCAUGUGUGAGGCAUCGGCGAUCACUUCUAGCGAUACCAGGAACACGAGCUACCUUGUUGGGGCAGCAGAAUGUGAACCAAGAAGGCUCUCAGAGAUAUAGCUAAUAGAGCAAAGAUUAAAAGAAUAGUCAUGCUCAGUAGAAUAUUAAAGUCAUUGAAUGGUAGUACAAAUCACAGGACAAGUGAAAAUUCUACCCCAUUAUCUAGAGCUUCACUUGGUGUAAAAUUGAUUAAAACUUGAUCUUUAAACUGAUAUUUCAAGCACAAAUGCCUUUUCAGUUGUGUGGUUGUGCCCGUCUUUGGUUUUGAAUACAUCUUUUGACAAUAUUUGCAUAUAAUCUUCUUCACUAAGACUUUAUUCUCAAGAACUUCUACUUCUUCAAAACAUUCCCAAAUCUUAGAAAAGUUUUGUUAUGACUUCUCUUUCCUUCUAGUUCACUUUCAACCUUUUCCAUAUCAUUAUUUGUAACACCCCUACACUAUUUCUUUUGGCCCUCAUUCUUUUAAAGUUUGGACCAUUUUGUAAAUAUCUAUUGUUGAGGGACUCGGCGGCAUAUUGUGUCUAAUUAAUCCCUAAUACCUAAUUCUGUUUUGCUUCCCAUUCGUAACAGCACCUUAACCCAGCCCAUCUAUCUUUCCCCUGCACGACUCCCUCUCUCCAGCUUGCGUCCGUACGCCCUCCCCCGCUUGCGUGCGCACGUUGUCGUUCCGAUCACCGUCAUCACCGCCGUCAUCCGAGGCCGCCUUCGCCGCAAUCCUCAUCUAUCGGCAUUUUCGAUUCAUCGUCGACGACAUUUUGUUGUCAACAUUUCUAUAUUUAAGAAGGUUUAUUCUUUUCAUUUUCGUCUCUACACCUAAUAACUUUAUCCAUAUUUAUGUGAUUGUUGUUAGGUGUUCUUCUUUAAUGAUAUUUCUAAGAUCAUUCAAAUCUGAUUUCGAAUAAUCUAAAUUAAUAUUGGUUGAAUUGUUAAUCUUGUAUCUUGUAUUCUCUAUAUGAUUUGGCUAUAUAAACUUUGCAAAUUCUACAUACUUUUGAAAUGCCCGUUACAUGGUCGACAAAAUGCCUAAGAAAGGGCGAACUUCGUUUUUGUUUCUGAUUUCGAUUCCAUCUAAUUGUAAAUUGUCAAUUAAUGUCUCAACAUUUGAAAACCAUUUUUUCUCGAUCAUAGAUCCUUCAUUUAUUAUUUAAAAUUCCGUUCAUGUUAUCGUGUUUAUUUGAAUCGUUUAAUCUUUGAAGCUCUGCAUUCUUGAUUGUUAAUUGAGUUUCAUCGAGUUCAUUAUUUUAAAUCUCUUUCGUGCUCCGUCCUGACCUAUUUGCAUGCAUUUGUAACAGACCUUGUCAACCUAUAUAAAAAGCCUUUCCGAAUUUAAAUUUUUGUAUAAACUUGUCUUCUAUCUAUCUAUCUAUCUAUCUAUCUAUGUAUAUAUAUAUAAUAAAUAAUAUAUAGUAUAUAUAUAUAUAUAUAUGUAUGUAUGAUAUGGUAAUGAUAUAUAUAUAUAAUUAUAUAGUAUGUAUGUAUUGUAUUGUAUGUAUAUAUUAUAUAUAUAUAUAUGUAUGUGUAUGUAUGUUAUGUAUGUAUUAUAAUAUAUAUAUAUAUAUAUAUAUAUAUGUAUGUAUGUAUGUAUGUAUGUAUAUGUAUGUAUGUAUAAUAUAUAUAUAUGUAUGUAUAUAUAUAUAUAUAUAUAUAUAUAUAUAAUGUAUGAUAUAUAUAUUAUAUUAUAUAGUAUAUAUAUUGUAUGUUAUAUAUAUAUAAUUAUAUAUAUAUAUAUGUAGAAUAUAUACUAGUAUAUAUAUAUAGAGUCCGGACUUGCUACGGUAGCACGGGCGCUCCGUGCACUACCAAGUUUUCGAUGAUGUGGCUUCCAAAUCGACGAUCGGCUCCGUUAGACUUUGAUCUACACUAUUGAAAGCAUUUGAAACUAAAUUUCAGAUUUUUUCGACAUUCAUUUGACUAGUGAUCAAAAAAUCUCAAAAUGACCAAUUUUAAUGGCCGAUGUGGUGUGUUUGUGAGUUUAACGGUGUAAAACAAUCCAAAUGCGAUGAAAUUUUUAUAGAAAAUUUCUUUCACUAUUUAGAGAGAUCAGUAUAUCUGAUUUGAAUUUAAAUCUUUUAUCGUCAUUUUUCUAUGAAAUUUUAUUUUUCAGCCGUCUAAUUUUAGACUCUUUGUUUAAUAGGUAAAUGAUAUCGAAAAAUUAUGAAAUUUAGUUUCCAAAUACUUUCAAUAGUGUAGAUCAAGUCUAACGGAGCCGAUCGUCGAUUUGGAAGCCGCCAUCAUCGAAAAACAAACUUGGUAGCACGGAGCGCUCCGUGCUGUCGAUAGAUAUAGUAGCCUAGUUCUAUAUAUAUUAUAUAUAUGUAUGAUAUAUAUAUAUAUAUAGAACUAGGCUACUAUACUAUCGGUAGCACGGAGCGUUUCGUGCUACCGAGUUGUUUCCAAUGAUACGGCUUUCCAAUUCGACGAUCGGCUCCUUUAGACUUGAUCUACACUAUUGAAAGUAUUUAGAAACUAAAUUUCAUAAUUUUUCGAUAUCAUUUAACUAUCAAACAAGUAGUCCUAAAAUUGAACGGCUGAAAAUAAAUAUCUCAUGAAAAAUGAUGAUAAAAGAUUUAAAUUCAAGAUCAGAUAUACUGAUCUUGCUCUAAAUAGUGAAAAGAAUUUUCUAUAAAAUUUUCAUCGCAUUUGGAUUGUUUUACACCGUUAAACUCACAAACACACCACAUCGGCAUUAAAAUUGUCAAAUUUUGAGAUCUUUUGAUCACUAGUCAAAUGAUGUCGAAAAAUUAUGAAAUUUAGUUUUCAAAUACUUUUAAUAGUAUAGAUCAAGUCUAACGGAGCCGAUCGUCGAUUUGAAAGCCGCAUCAUCGAAAAAAUUGUAGCACGGGAGGGCCCUGCUACCGAUUAGUAUAGUAGCCGGACUAUAUAUAUAUAUUAUAUAUAUGUAUGUAUAUAUGUAUGUUAUAUAUAUAUAUAUAUAUAUAUUAUAUAUAAUGUAUAUAUAUGUAUGUAUAAUAUAUAUGUAUGUAUAUAUAUGUAUGUAUAUAUAUAUGUAUAAUGUAGUGUAUGUAAUAUGUAUGUAUAUAUAUUUAUAUGUAUGUAUAUAUGUAUGUAUUGUAUAUAUACGUAUGUAGUGUAUUAUAUGUAUGUAUGAAUAUACGUAUAUAUACGUAGUAUAUAUGUAUGUAUGUAUAUAUAUACGUAUAUAUAACAUUACAUACAUAUAUUCAUACGUAUAUAUAUAAAACAUACAUAUAUACAUUACAUACGUAUAAUAUUACAUACAUACAUUAUACAUACAUAUAAAUAAUAAUACAUAUAUACAUACAUAACAUAUAUAUAUAUUUAUAUAAUAUAUAUAUAUAUAUAUAUAUAUAUUACAUAUAUAUAUAUAUAUACAUAUAAUAUAUAUAUGUAUAUAUAUAUAUAUAUACAUAAUAUGUACAUAAUAUAUAUAUACAUAUAAAAUACAUACAUAUGUACAUAACAUAUAUAUAUACAUAUAAACAUACAUACAUAGUUAUACAUAUAUAUAUACAUAUAAACAUAAACUAUGUACACUACAUAUUAUAUACAUAAUACAUACAUAUAUUACAUACAUAUUAUACAUACAAUUAUACAUACAUAACAUAUAUACAUACAUUAUAUAAAUACAUAUAUAUAGAUACAUACAUAUAUAAUAGAGGUUGAGCUAGAAUACAUUCAAAAGCACCAAUGAGGUGUGCUUUUGAGUUUUUAACCAUUGGAUGGAGAAUGUAAGGUUGUGAUGAUGGUGGUUGGUGGUGGUAGGUGGAAUAUGUUUGAUCCAAGGGCUAUUAGUAAAAAAGCACCAAUGGUGAUACUCUUUAAAAGUAUUCUAGCUCAAUUCUCUCUCUCUGCUCUCUCUCUCUCUCUCUCUCUCUCUCUAUAUAUUAUAUUAUAUAUAUAUAAUAAUUCGGAAAGGCUUUUUCUUAUCCUAUCUAUCUAUCUACCUAUUCUAUCUAUAUAUUUUAUAGAUUGAGCUAGAAUACUAUCGUAGCAAAACGCGGCUCGUUGCCACCAUUUGUUUUCGAUGGAUGAACCCAAAUCGACAAUCCGGCACCGUGAACAUGAUCUAUACCAUUGAAGUGUUUAGAAUGCAAAUUUCAUUCAUGUUUCGGAUUAUUAUCUGCUUUACCAUCCGAGUUGACAACAAAAAAUGAACGGCUUGAAAAUGAAUAAAUUCUUAAAAAGAUGAUGAUAGAGUCUUGGAGUUAAGAUCAAAGAUAUAGACCUUAUUUUAGAAUCAAAUUCUAAAGAAUAUUUCUAACAAAAAUGAAUUGAUUUUUUGAUAUUUUUUACGCCAUUAAACGAAAAAGCCCUCAUAUCGGACCACAUUAAAAAUUACAAAUUUUUGAAACCCUUUUGAUCGAUUAGGCAGAAUGGAUGUCGAAAAGAUUUGAAAACUAUGAUUUUCUAAACACCUCAAGUGGUUAUAAGAUAUGUUCAAUGGUUGCCGAUCGCUGAUUUGGAGGCUCUAUCAUCAAAAAUAAUCAUGCGGGGUGGCAACGGUAACCCGUGCUUUGAUAUAAUUUCUAGUUCAACUCUAUAAUAUUAUAUAUAUAUAUAUUAUAUAUAUAUAUAAUAUAUAUAUUAUUUUUAUAUAUAUAUAAUUAGGCUGGAAAUACUAUUUAAUAGCGCCAAGUGUUGCGUGUUAUUAAGUUUUUUUAGUCCUUCAUUGAGAAACUAGCGUGGUUAGGAUGAUGUGGGCCCCUAGGGUUGAGUAGGGUUGGUUAAUAGGUAUAUCUAACAAGUUAAAAAUAGUCAAAGGGUUAAAUCUAACGGUGGAAAAUUCGAUAGGUACCAAAAUCCUUGGUGCUAUCGAAGUAACGCCCAAACCGGGGAACUCUUAUAUAUUAUAUAUAUUAUAUAUAAUAUAGAGAGAAGACGGAGGCAGGAGAGUCGUGGUACUGAGCAGAAUAAGGUAGGAGGGGAAUGAUGAGAGAGAGAGAGUUGGGCCUAGAAUACUAUUGCCCCUAUUGCUAUCAACUUUAAUCUUUGGAACAAUUCCUUUUGAUCAUUUCUAACCAUUGAAUUAAAUAUUAUAACCCAUGGACCACUCAAACCCUAGGAGGACCAUUCAACCCUAAAAGGACUGAAUAGCAACUAUCCCUAACAAAUUUAUCAUCAACGAGUUAAAACCUUGAUUAGCAAAAAGGCAAAAAUAUCAAUAGUAUCAGCUCAAUUUCUAUAUAUAAUAUAUUAUAUAUAUAUAUAUAUAUAUAUAUAUAUAUAUAUAUAUAUAUUGUAACCCCGAUUCGGAAAAAUUAUCGACUUUAGCCAAAUCGACUAAAGUAUUGCGAAGAAGAUGGAGACAAGUCCCAAUUAGCAUCUUCGACACGGUUGGAAGGCUAAAAAGUAAGCUCAAAAAAGAGUUGGGAGGGUUUUGGCAAUCGAACGGCGCGAAAGUUAGAGUUGAAUCGAGCCAAAAAUGACAUUCUUGGAUGUCUUGUUACGGUUACAAGCCCCCAUAUGGUUGUUACCGGUACAAACCAGCGAAGGUACUCGGCUUGGAGUGCCAGGCCUGUACCGGUACAAGGGGCUGUACCGGACAAGACUGCGGCAACCGAGAGAGCGAGCUCUCGGGUUGGGCUUGGUCUCCAAACUUGUACCGGUACAAGAAACCGGUUACCGUACAAGGAGGCCGAAACAGGCAGAUGAGUUGCAGAUUUGGAAAAAAACCAGAGGGACUUGGAGGUAUUGUUUAAAGCAUGUGAUGAAGGGUUAUAGGAAGAGAGUAAUUCCCCUUCUUCUUUCCCACUCCACAGCUCCCUCUCUCUAUCUGGCUCGUGCAAACCGGAGAAGAGAAAGAAGAAGAAAAUAAGAGAAGAAGAAAAGAGAAAGUGAAAGAGAAGAUUGGUGAGACAAGGAGAAGAUUCCUCUCCUCGUCUUCAUUCUGUCAUCUUCUUCCUCAUUUGGAGCUCUAGGAGGUAAGCUUCCAAAACCCUUCUCAUGGUAGAUUUUCGUUUAGAAUGGGUUUUGAAACCCUAGAUUUUGAUUUUGUUCUACCUACAAGCUUUUAGGAACUUCGUAGAGGGCAAGAAACACCAUGAAAUCCAUUGUUGUCUUUCAGAGAGCUCUAAUUGGGAUUUCUAGGGUUUGCUUUAAACACCCUUAGAAAAUGGUGUCGAAUGUCCUAUUUGAGUCCUAGAUGAUAAAACAAGCUCUCUUUGCUAAUUUUUAUAGAUCAAUCCAAGAAGAUUGAAAUAUUGUAUAUUAGGGCAUCCCCAAAGAGAUUUGCUAUAUAGGUUUGAUCUAUUUUAUCCGCUUGGAAAACUAAUUGGGGACCUAAUUGAACCCGUUAAACGCUCUGUUCGACAAUACGACGAGUGUAGCGAGAAAGUUAUUGACGAAAUCGGCGUUUUUGGUACAGAUGGAGGCACGCGAAUAAAGCCUAAAUCGUGAAUUGGAACCGAAAGCAUCUUGGAGUCAAGGAAUAAAACUCCGGGAAAAAGACGGAUCGCGGGUUCGGACGGUCGUUCGCUAAAGUCGGCAAGAUACGGCCCAAACGGUGCCGAGCAGGACGCGGGGGAGGCCGGCAAUGUCGACAAGCAAUCGGAACGCGAAUCAAGGAGGUCGUGUUACCGAAAGCGACUAGUCGCCCUUUAUGUCUAGCAAGUGUAAUCUCACGUGAUGGCAUGAUGUUAAAGUAAAUUGCAUAUGAGCCAUGAAAUAAAAAUGAAGCAAAGUAAAAUCUGGAUGCAUGAUGAUAAUAAAUGCAUAGUGUAAAAAUUGCAUUGUUAAAUAAUGCAUGCAUUUAGAGCAUACUAGGUAAAUUCGUUAUUAAGUAGGAGACAUGAUUAACUAUAAGAUGCAAAUGCAAAUGGGAAAGCAUGCUAAAGUAAGUUAAUGCUAGAUUACGUAAAAAGAAUGCAUGUACUAAUUAUGCAUAGAUGGAAAUGCUAAGUAGAGAGCAUAAUGAGCAUAGCAUGUAUAUAAUGCUAGUUAAAGUAGAGAAUGCAAAGUAGCAUCAUGAGAGCUAAGUAAGUGACAUGAUAACUCUAGUGUAAAUAGAGUUGAUUGGACAACUAGGUUGUCAGAUAGAUCGAGUGGCAUCUAACCUAGUGUUAAAGAACAUAGGUUGAUUAGUAAACCUAGAGUCGAACAAUUAGGUGUGUGGCAUUUGACCUAGUGUUAGUAAACCUAGGUCGAACUAGUAAACCUAGAAGUGGACAUCUAGGCGAAGAUGACAAGAACCUAGCAAGUGUAUCUAGGUUAAGUGAUGUGGACAUAGAACCUAGAGUAUGGGAACCUAGGUUGAUGAGUAUAGUAGUAUAACCACUAGGACGAGCUAGGUCGACAGUAUAAGGUUGGCUAUGAACCCUCGACCUGUGGUAAGUGGAUUCCGGAAUCCCAGGACUUAUGAUGUCCCUGGUACAGGCUACGGCGUUCGUGCGACGACUUCGCCGCCGAGCUUGGUACCGUGGGUAGAUUGGGGGCGAUCACAUGGAGAUCACCGCCCGGGGCUUGAACCAUUGUCGUGGCGUUUGUGCGACGAUUUCGCCGCCGGAUGGUUAAGCCAUUUGAGGAUCAGACCGCCAGAGUAGACUGAAUCCAUGCUGGGUAAGUACGAUGCAGGUGCCUCCAGGUCACUGAGUCUGACAUGAUCGUUGUUGGGUGUGGUGCGACCCGUUCGCCCCCAGACGGUAUGUCAUGUCUCGAGCUCACGCUGGGUAAGUGCAACGCGAUCGCCACCGAUGGUCAAGUCUUGCGACUCGAGCCGUGUUCAGCGUGUGCGACGAUUUCGCCGCUAGGAGGCUGAGUCAGAGAGAGUGCGGUAGGCUGUUGAGCAGCCAGUGCGCGGACUAUCCGCAGAUGAUUGACUCGAAGCCGAGUCGGGUGGUUAGCUAUGAUAGGAUAGAGGAACCCUUAUGAGCUAGAGAUAGAGGUUUGAGCUAAGUAAAUAGAAACCUUAGAAGCUAGUGGUUGGUGUUGUGAUCCUAAGGUAAUAGAAAUCUUAGAGUAAAAUUAUGAGCUAAAGUAGCCAAGUAAAAGUAGAAUUCAAAUGAUCUACUAGUUGUUGCAUGAUUUUCGUAUCGCAUAUUGUGAGGCAUGGCAUGUAUUUCAAUUGAAUAUAUAUAACUGUUGUAUAUUGUUGAGCUAACAUGUUGCAGUGCCUCCUCGGACCUAUCGGUCGAGCUUUUCCCUUGGGUGGCCGUUCCCACUGGGAAUCAUGGAGUUGGUUCUCACCCCACGUUGUUUUGGGGUUUUCAGGUCGUUCGUGUGCGGCGCGGCGGCGCGAGGCAAGGGCGUAGCUCAGUAGAUAGCGCCCCACCACAGAGACCGAGGUAGCAGUACCCUGAGACAGUCUAGCUUAGGGGCCUAGAAGACAAGAAUAGAAAAUGUAUCAAACUUGUAAACUCUGAUGUAAUAAUAAGAUUGUAAUUUGGAAGUAAAAAUGUAAACUGAACUGUGAUGUAAAGAGUGGGUGUAAAAAUGAAUGCUUGUAAUAGCAAGUAGAUUAUGUAUUUGAUAUUUCCUUAUGCAAUCUGGAUUGAUAUCCGUUCCUUGUUGGAACAUUCGUUGAUUGUUUGGAUUGCGACGCCUUGGACGUACUGGGGAGACUCUGUCCGCGUACAGGGGAAUUCCCGGUCCGUUCGGCGGUCUGUCGUCGGCGCCGCGACCCGGUCCAAAUAGGCGGUUGGUCGCGGGGCGUGACAUAUAUAUAUAUAUAUAUAGAAUUGAGCUCCUAUGCUUUUAAAAGUACCAAGUCAUUAGUGCUUGUAAGUUUUCGACCCUUGGAUUAAGGGAUGUGCGAUUAAGAUGAUGUGGGCCCCCUAGGGUUGAGUGGGUGGAUGGUUGGUUGAAUAGUAUAAUCUAAAAGGUGAAAAUGAUCAAAGGCAUAGAUCUAACGGUAAAAAAUUUAUAAGCACCAAAUGCUUGGUGCUUUUACAAGCACCAUAGCGCCGGACUAUAUAUAUAUAUAUAGAGUCCGGCUACUAUACUCUUAUGAGUAUGAUCGCCCUCGUACUCAUAAGUUGUUUUCGAUGAUAAAGCUUCCGAAUCGACGAUCCACACCAUUAAACGUUAUCUAGAGCAUUUGAAACAUCUAGAAAUCAAAUUUUAUAAUUUUUCGACAUCAUUUACCUUACGAUCAAAGGGUCACAAAAUUGACAAAUUUUAACGGCCGGUAUGGAAUAUUUGCUAGUUUAACGGUGUAAAAAAAUCGAAAUCAGUUGAAUUUUUUAUCAAAAAUUUUUUUCACUACAUAGAUAAAGAUCAAUAACUCCAAUCUUAAAUUGAAAGAUCCGAUCAUCCAUUUUUAAGAAGUCGUUCGAUUUUGACCGUUUAUUUUAUACUCGCUUGAUGAACUUUAUUAUGAUUUCGAAAAAUUAUGAAAUUUAUUUUCUAAAAGUUUCAAAUACUCUAGAUCAUAUUUAACGGAGUGGAUCGUCGAUUCGGAAGCUCCAUCAUUGAAAACAACUUAUGAGUACGAAGUGCUCUAUUCUCAUAAAAGUAUAGUAGCCCUAGCAUAUAUAUUACUAUUAUAUAUACGAGAGAGAGAGAGAGAGAGCUAGUCUUUCUAUACUAUCUAUAGUAACGGCUCCGGUACUAUAUCCCGCGUUUUAUCGAUUUUAGGGGUGUUCAAAUCAACGAUUCCAGCACCGUUAUAAACAUGAUCUAGUAUUUUAAGCUUUUUUAAAAUAAAAUUUUUAUAUUGUUUCGAUAUAGUUUACUUUAUGAUCAACCAUUAUCAAAUUGAUCAAUUUUCAGGUAAUAUGGGAUUUUGUGAGUUUAACGUGGUGUAAGAACGAAUCUAAAUUUCUCAAAUUUUGAUAGCAUACUUUAAAAUAUCUAGAUUUAAGGUUAACAUCUCUUGAUCUUUUCAAUUUCCACAUCCAUUUGACAUAACGAUUAUUUAGCUAGUAACAUUUCAAAAAACUAAAUUUAAUUUUAAAACUUCAAUGAUACCCUGAGCUCAUAAUUAACGAUUUGGAUCAUUAAUUAAACGACCUACAUGCGAAUAACUAAGGCUAUAGUACCGAAGCUCCAGUAACUAUAGAUUAUUAUAGUAAGCCUAAUUCCUUAUAUAUAUAUAGUAUAUUUAUUUUUAUGAUUAAAUUAUAUAAUAUAAUAUAAAUAUAUAUAUAAUAGAGUAGUUCAUUAGUGUGCUAUUAGGAGCACGGAGGCCCUCUAGCUCGCUAAGCCGUUUAUUCAAUAUAAGAGCUUCGAAUCGACAUCGCUUCCGUAGACUGAGUUAAUGGGUAAUUUGAACUAUCCUAGACAAUAAUUUCUAUGAUUUUUCGGCACGUCAUUUCCAUAGCGAUCAAAGGGUCAAAUUUCCCGUAGCGAAUAAAAGUUCAAAAUAAACAAUUUUUCAUGUUGAUGUAUACCGUUCUAAUUUAACAUGUAGAAAUAUUCAAAUUAGAUGAAAUUUUGAUAGAAAAUUCUUUAUAUAUGCUAUUUACACAAAUUAUAUGUUGUAUCGAAAAUUUUAAUGCUAUAUGUACUACUUUUUGGAUAUAUUUAUUUUCAUGCCGUUGAAUUUUGCACCUUCAAUCGUAGUAAAUGAUAUCAAAAAGUUCACAAAAUUUAUUUAUCUAUAAUACUUCAAAUAGCCUAAUCAAGUCUAACGAGCCGAUGUCGUCGAUUGGAAGCUCCACAUUCGAAAACGCUAUAGGUAAGCACGGAGGCCUCCGUACCCUAAUAGCACCAAAGACCUACUCUAUAUAUAUAUCUAGAGGAUAUAUAUAUAUUAUAUAUAUAUUUAUUGAGCGAAACAUACUCCUAAAAGCAACAAGAGGUGUCGCUUUUGAAUUUUUAACCUUUGGAUGGAGAAUUAUGUAAAGGUUGGAUAUGGGGCUAGGUUGUAGAGGUUGGUUGGUAGGUGAGUCAUAGUAUUUUGAUCCAAGGGUUAUGUAGUUAAAAUAAGAUCCAGUUAGAAACCUAGAAUGCACCAUGGGGUGAUACUUCCUCAGAGUAUUCCUAGCCAAUUAUAUAUAUUAUAUAUUAUUAUUAUAUAGAUAUAUCUAUAUUGAUCCUCCAUAUUUGUCAUUUGUAUUUUAAGUAGCUUAAAGACAGUUUUCACUUUUAGGUUCCGGUGAAUUGAUUUUUCGUUACAAUUUUCAAUGUAUAGCUUCUAGCUUGGGCGAAGCUGCCAUUAAGAUAAGCACCAAAAUCCCGUUAGUUUUUUUAUCAUAUAAUUUAGGAAAAUAUAUGAUUGUGUGAAAAUUUUAUUUUGUACAUUACAAAAUUAAGGAUUAAGCGUAUAUCACACAUUUCUAAAAAUGGUGUUAGUUUUAUUGAUUGGAUUCUUUUAGCUUAAGAAUUUGAGAUUUGAUAAUAUGUUCUAUAAUUAGUGACCGUUUUAAGUGUUUUAAAUUACAUUUCUGCUUUGUAUUCUGCAUGUUAAUGGUUGCCAUUCGACAUUUAAGAUAGAAGAAGCCCCAUCAAAUAAGAUAUUUCUUUCGACCAUCUUUUCGAUGCUAUUACGAGAUAUAUAGGACCGCGCUACUUACCAAGCAACAGUGUAUGAGAAACAAAGAGAGAAGCUAUCGUCGUCUCUAUAAAUUAUCGCAUUUGGUGCUGCGCCUAUACUACAUCAAUCUGUAUUUGCGCUUAUCGAGCUCUCUCUGUUCUGUUUGACACCUUCGAGGUUUUUGUUCUGUUUUGCGCCUUCAUGUGUUCUGAUCUCGCCACACGAAUCACACAAUAUAGUUAGUUGCCCUGAGACUUAAUAUAUUUUCUUUCGUUAUUUGCUGAAGAGAAACACCUUGUAAAUUUAUAGUUCAUCUGACUGAAUUUUAAGUUUUGCAUAAUCUUAUUUCUGAAUUUUGCAAUAAAAUACCAGUGCCGUCUUAAAGUAAUUUUUGUAUUUAUUUUAUUGUAUUUAUUGUAUUGCUAAUCAACUAAUAUGGUUUAUGGUUGUUACCUAAGUAUAGAUCUGUGAUUUGGUCCGGGCGGCUCAAUUGAAGUGAACAUUAAAUAGUUAGUGUUUGAUUUAGCGCCCUUUUUGUUUUUUAUCUUCGUAAUUUUUUUGGAUGGAAAUCUUUUGGACUACGUAAAUGAUCAUUUUUACUGCUUUUGUAUCAUUAUUGCUUCGUAUCUCCACUUUUGUUAAAUUAAGUAUUCAGUUGGAACCGGAAUUUCGUCUACAAAUUUUCGUAGCAAACACUAUUUUAUUAUCUGAGAUUCUGAUUCGUUGAACUUCAAUUGCUCAGUCUUCAUUUUUGAUUCUUUUGAUCUAGUGAUAAAUUUGUACAUCAUAUUUUUGCUUGUCUGUCACUGGUUUGUAACCUUGCAAAUAUUUGCUAAUUUAGUAGUAUGCGCAUCUGUUAGUUCGCCUCCGAUUUGGCGUGACAUAUUCAGUUGUUUUAAUCUCUCUUUGAGUUAUCAACAUGGCUUAUUAUUGCUAACAACAUAUGCUGAUGUGAGAUGAAUGAAAGAUGUGUGCAAACUGAGAAGAUUAUAAUAAAAAAAAAGCAAUAUAAAAGACAAAUAAGUGCAUAUAAAAACAGUAAAUAUGAAAAAAAUAUAAAAAUAUAAUUCAUUUCAGAAAUGGCACUGUGGAUAUCCUGAAACUUAACAAAGAAAGAAAGUUCAUUACCUUGUAUCCACUAAGGAACUAUCUUAAUGGGCCCAUCGUGAUUCGUUCAAAAUAGGGAACUACUUAGUAAACUUUGGAUAUCAAAUGAAAUUUGCAAACAUGUAAUUCGAGUGAGCAUUCAUAACUGCAAACAUUCAAUGAAACACAACGGUGAUGUAUUUGUAUCUAGAUUCUAAACCCCUAUAUCAUACAGCAAUGUAUAUAUUCAAACAUUUUAAAAAGUGAAACAACUUUCCAAUACGCUACCAUAUUUGAUCAAUUCAAUCGAAAACAUGUGAGAUUUGCAAGCAUAGUUCAUAUUCCAUAAUGGGAAUUGCAAGCCAUAGUUUGCAAUCACUCCAUAAUGAUGAAUUUUACAAACUAACACGUGAAGAGAAUGAGACAAUAAUUUUAGAUAGAAGGCAGUACCGCAUGGGCGCUUACGAUAUUUAUGAUUCUGCAUCGAAUAACCAAAUUGGCUACUUAAUAAGUCCUCUAACAAACAUUACUGAUUCCUGCGCCCUUUCUUCAAAGUUUGCUCUUGUUCAACUUAAUACCUUCCUUUAAGUUUAAUUUAUAAUGGUUCUCUGGUGCUGGAAAGAUCAGAUUUCGCAGCCUUGUUUGUCACGAUCCUCAACUUUAAAGAAUGCGGAAUGAUAAAGAAAAAUCUUAUAAACGGAAAAAGAGUAUAUAAUUUGAGAAAAGUUUGGCAUAAUAAACUAAGAGAAAUAUACAAAAGAGAAAAAGCAAUCAGUAGAAUAACACAAUUCACUCACUCUAUUUGUAGCCACUCACAAAUUAAAUUAACUGAUCAUGUGCGCUGCCAAGGGAGACAGUAAAAGCAUAUUGAGUCGCAUAAAAUAAAGCUAACUCCGACGAAGCGCCGGGCUCUCAGGACAAGGAAUGAAGAGAGGACGACGUGGCACGAUUGAAGUGCGCUCUUUCGGCGAAGCGGAUGUCGCGAGGGAGGCGCCGCUCGCCACUCGUGUGAAAGCAGCGUGGCGAAUUCGACCUGAUCCGGGACGAUCUUCUACAUAAAUCCAAUGCUCAAAAGAAUCGCACGAGACCUAAUUAGAAGUCCGACAAACGAAAUCCGAGUCUCACGAGCAUUGCUGCGUGUAAUGUGCUGCGCUGAAAUACUUGGUGCGUCUGUUGUUGCUGAGUGAAUCCGACCGAGCGCCAACAACGAUUGCGGUGCGGCAGGCGGAGGGAGACAUUGAGGCGGUCGGAGCGCGUUGCAACGUCAAAUCCUCACUCGAACAAGCAGCUCGGAGAAUCAGCGAAGGAUUGGGAUCGCCGAGCCCAAAUGAAGAGAUCGGAAAGAUAAGAGGAGAGCAGGGAGGGGUACCGAUUUCGAGGAUUUUUGAAAUAAAAAGGGAAGUUUUUAAUAACAAAUUUGUAGAACACGGUUCAUUCACGUGAUAGAGACUGAAAUAAUUGUUAUAUUUAAACUAAAAAAAAGGGAAAACUUCAAACACCCUCUGAUGUUUCGCAUUUUUGUUAUUUAAUUUCUCCCGUGGUUUUGUGUAACAAGUCUAGUUUACCCUCACCCCCACACCAUCGCUUUCCCUUCCGUCCCACCACUUUGUCCACACCUCACACACUCCAAAGUCAACACCUGACGACUGGUUUCACCAAUCAUCGCACACCAAGACUACAAACAUACUAAAACUCUCAUAUUUAUUUUGUAUCAAUUCUCACUACCACCAUCACCACCAACAACCAACUGCAACUACCCAACAUUUAGUUAUUUGAGUCCACCACACCAACCAGCCUUAGUCACCUCACAAUGGUUUCUACAACAAAACAAGAAUACACAACACACACAACUUCUUCCCAUUACUAAACUCAUAAAAAUGAUAAAAGGUAAACAAAUACACAAGAGGAAUACUGGAAGUAUAUAAGCUAGAACUAAUUAACAAACGGUACUUACUUGAUACACUUAAACUAUAGAGUACUAAAGUGAAAAGUAUAAUACAUUGUGUACUAUUUGAUACACCUUUUAAACAAUAGGAACUAAAUGAAAAAAUGAAACCACAAGGAGGGCUAUUGAAGUUUUCCAAAAAAAAUUUAUCGGAAUAGUAUUCAAACAUAUGAUGUUGGUUGGUUGGUUGUUGGUUUUCCCUCAUGACGGUGAACAAGUUCAGGAAACAGUUUGCCUAACACGUUUGAUUCCAUAAGAGCUUUCUAUAUUCCUUUUUUCAUUUUAUCAGUGCGUCCAUUUAAAAUCGACGAACGAAUUCUAUUUACGGGCACACUUGCGAGUUGUGAUCGUUGCGUAAUUACUGAAGUUUUAUUUGUUGCAUGUUGCGUUUGGCAAUAUUUUAUCCAUUCAAUACCAAAGCAUUUAAUUUAUUUUUCAAAAAUAAGUAAAAGAUCGAAACAUUAAAUCAUACUAAGAUAGCUAACUAAUGGGCCUAGAGCUUUAAAAUAGAAAACUGUUAAAAUGACGUUAUUAAAAAAUAUAGACCCAGCUAGCUGAAAGAGAAUAUCUUUCUCACUCUACGAGCAUCAGAUUCCGAUUUCUCUUUAAUAAAAGCUUUGCAGGGUCAAGAAACACUGGCGGGAUUGACAGACCUGCAAAUGAAAAGUUAAUGCUAGCUCACGCUUUAUACCAAAUCGCAAGGCAUACCGCACAAACGGGCUCACUUUAUACGCACUUGCUUCCUCCAUAAAACGAUUCUAUUGUGAAAAAAAUUCAAAUUUUGAAAUGUUGAAGGCCAAUAAAAAGUUCAUGUGCAUGUCGUGCACGUCAGCCUAAUCUUUAGAAGCCAUGAUUAAAAGCGUAUUUUGAUACCACCGAAAGUAAUAAAGAAUAAUAGUAUAUACUCGCAAGACGUAACUAGCAAGCCGUUAGAGAUUGUCUUUUGGAUUGAGCUCGUUGGCUCUGCAAAAAUAGGAAUGUAACGAGAAAUGUAACAAACUGAAUCAGUAGCGACUAAUAAAAAGACAAAUAACAUCCAAAGAAAGGCUUUAUUCCCCUCGAGAUACAGAAAACUACUUCUUAUUCCUCUAUAUUUUUUGCAUUUUUAGGAAGAUUAUUGUCAAUCUUUUCCUUUUCCGCAUCUACCUGCUUCUAGAAGAGUUCUAAGGGUAAAUUUUCAGAAUCUGUAUCCCAAAGGCACAGCUUCUUUUGUACAAUUUUCAGACAUAAUUUUAAUAUAAAAGGCAUUUCGACCUUCAGCACUCCAAACUAACUGUCAUUUCAAUUCAUUCGCUUAACAUUCAGCAGAACCCUUCUAUAGUAUAAUGUUUCGAACUCCGGCUUGAUCCUGAUCCCUCAUCAGCCGAAUAGCUCCGGUUCCGUCCGACGGACGCAAACUUUCGAGGUCAUCAUUGAAGCCGGAUUUAAUGUCCUACACCGUUUUCCUAGGAAGACUUUGAAUAGGAACAAGGUCUUGAGAAUUCUGUCAUAGCAAUUUUUGAGAUUCCAUUGGGACCGCAUUGAGGUAAAUUAAUUCGUACAGAGUAAUGCUGACGAUAAAGUCGCCAUGAUUUGCAUAUACAGGGUUCGUCUCCACGAAUUCUGAAAACAGACCAAAGCCAGUAAAUCGAUAAUCACGACGCCUACCCCCAAAAGCAAUCCUAACCAUCGAAUAGGCGAGCAUGUCCAAUCCUGAAAGGCGAAGAGCCAAGUUUGGCUCAGCGUCAGUGACUAGAUGAGCGGUCCUACAAUAUAUGGACCAAAGUGUAAUGUAAACCGAAUUUGAAUAUAAGAGUAAAUAUAAAUAAAAAUAGAUGAGAUACUAUUUUUAUUGGAUUAGAGAAGUAAAAUAUAAGUCGGGAAACGACUUUUCUGAAACUCGAAUGAACACAAAGAUUUAGAAUCUUGUGAAAACGCUGAAUAUUAUUAAGGCAAAAAUGCACAAUAGUCAAAAAUAUUAAAACUUUGGAUAUUUUUGGGAUAUUUUUAUAACAGGUUAAAGUUUCAUGUCAAUCCGACACCACUGAAAGUAAAAAAGAAAAUUCGACUUUAUCUGUCUAAAUUACAGUUCGUAAGCCUUUCGAUGACAAAUAGGUUCCAAACUGAAAAAUAAAAAUACAUCCCGUUUAUUUUGGCAAAACAAAGUCUACCUGUCAAAUUUGAGCGAAAACGAACAUUCAAAGCCGGGCGAAAAGUAUGUACAGCGAGCUGCUCUAAACUGCUAAUUGAAAUUAUGUAUAAAAGGGUUUUUUUUCCCCUUUUCUCCCCUUCCUCCCACAAGCCACCACUCACACCUACCGUAUCACACGUAUAAGAGGAAGACAAACCCCCUUCUCUCUCUAUAACUCUCCUCCUCUCUUAGUUCUCUCACCAAAGUUGAUUAAGAGGACGAUAAUUGAAGAUGAAGUCAGGAGUCUCUCCAAUGUGAAGGUGCAACUGCCAAUGGUGAUAUAGCUUAAUGGCAUCUGGUGCCUAGGUGAGAUCUCAUAUUUAGCUAGAUUUCCAUUAAAUCUUUAUGUAUAAAUUCUAGUACCCUAAUUGAAUGUUACAGUUUCCAUCCAUUUAAUUGGGUUAAUUGUAGAAUAGUUCAUCUACGAUUUGAAUAAGUUUGGAAAUAGAGGUUUGAUCUGAUAACCCUAUUUGUUUCUAAUAAGUAGAAUUGAGCAUUGAAGACCCUAGUUGGCGAAUUUGGUUGUCGUGCCGAUUUCGAUUUGAGCCAAACCGGGUCACUGUGCCGCGAAAACCAUCGCAAAGUGACUACAAGCAAUCGAAAGCAUUAUUAAGGUUGUGCCUACCGGAAAGCGAUAGAUCUUCCCAAAGUGUGUAUGCCAUUAUGAAUGCUUGAAGAUAUUAAUUACAUUGAAAAAGCAUGAACAGAUCUAAAAUACAUGAGUUAGUUGCCUAAAUAACCGUGAGCUAGAUACUAAGAGAUUAAAUAUAUAAUGAAUGCAUAAACAAUAUUUAAAAAAAUGCAUAGCAGAUGCUAAGUAACAUUAACAUAAUUAUAAAUACAAGCCUGAUAGAGAUGCUAAUAAAAAUUCAUAUGAUAUAUCUAGUAAAAUCAUGAGGUAUAAUUGUUACCCUUGAAUGGAUAAAGACUCGCAUGAGUAAGAUGAGAUAUGUGCUAGAUAGAAUGUGAACAAUCGAUAAACUCUAUAAGUAAAGAACCUCGCAAGUAAGCUUGUAACUAAAGCAUCACUAAUUAAAUAAUAAGACACAAAGGCAAUAAAACCUAGUGUAUUAACAUAGGUAUUCAUGAGUGACAUUAAAGAAUUCCUAGGUGUGGACAACUAGAAAAAAACACGAUGCAAUUAAACCAUUAUUAAAUAUAGUUGAAAUGAAACUAGAGCAAGUAACCUAGUUAAACUACCGACAUUUAACUAAGCAAGUAUAACCUAGGUUUAAUGGACAUGAGUGACAUCGAACAAGUCAAUGACCUAGGUAUAAGAUGACCCAGUGCUAAUGAACCUAGCAUGGUUAGUGCAUGAACCUAAAGUUUAAACUAGGUUGAAUAAGCUUGACCUAAGAUAUCGACACUAUAGUUAAUACCAACCCUAAGAUAUAAUUGAUUCACGGAUCCCUAGAAGAAGGCUCUAGUGCACGAAUAAGACUUGCGACGAGCGCAAGGAAAUCAAGACUGUGGGUAUGUUGGUUCUCCUCGCCCGACAGUGAUUCAAACGUAGUGAGUCUCCUCACCCGGUAUGUGAAAUGCAAAUGAAACAUCAAUCGGUACGUGUUCUCCUCGCCGGCCUUCCUCAGUGAUCAACUGGAUGGUUAUCCCUCGCGUACCAAGAAUAGGUACGCUUAUCUUGGUUCUCCCACCGUAGUCCAUAAGCCACUAUUAAUCGGCGUUCGAUGGUUAUCCUCACACUUAUAGACCUAUAAGUUAAGAUUAAGCUGAGGUGCAAUGAGACUUCCUCUCCUCGAAACUAUAGAGCGCCCGGACAUCCGCGGAUUAACUCAAGACCUAUCGAGGCAUAGUUGCUAAGGUGAAGUGACUUCCAAAGUAGAUAUAAGAAAAAGAAGCUAAUUCUAAAAAUCGAAGUAUAAAAUGCAAAGUCAAGAAUGCUAAAGAAUCAAAAAGCUAAGCUAAAAGAAUGCUACGUUAAAGAACUUAGUGUAAAAAGGCUAAUUAUAAGAAUUAAAUACGAGAGUAAUCAACUUUAAUCACUUCAUGAUUCCUGAUUUCAUAUGCAUAUUUGUUGAGCAGGAAUACUGAUAAAUGUUAUUUAAAUAUAUAUACACGCCUUCGAACCCCUAUUGGUUCAGAUUUGCACAGCCCUGACAGAUCGCGAACGACAACGUUUUUCACUGUACGUCUAGCGUAAAUCAAAUACAAUUCACAAGUGUUCCACCAAACAGAAAUCAACAUACAUAUUGCAAUAUGGAAAUGUACACAACAUAAACACAAUCCUAUGUUAUCGUCAGCUAUUCACAUUGGAUAAUUUGCUUACAUCACAAUCUCACAACUUUCUCCAACAUACAAUCUGAGUUUAUUAACAUUUGCUACAUCUGUAUCUUCAUUCCCUCUACCCCUAGUUAUACCACUCGGUACCACUAUCCUCUGAUCUAGUAGCGGCCUAUCAUACACUACGCCCUUGCCUUCACGCCGCUGCGCCGCUCACAGUGAAAUCCAACACCAAACAACGUGGUGUGAGAACCAACUCCAGUCCCAGUGAACGGCCACCAAGAAAAGCUCGUACCAAUAGUUCAAGGAGCCUGGCAACAAUUAAUCACAAUACAUUAAACAAUCUAUAUGCGAUAUUGAACUAAAUCAUGCCCGAAAAUGCGAUAUGCCAUACUGAACUAUCAAUGACAUUAAUGAUUCUAACUUCAUAUUAAUAUAAACCAUUUUUUACUUGUAGCCGUCUUACUAUAUAUUUCUAUCAUUAAGCUUUCUCUAGUCUUUACUUGCACAUAACCCUCAUAUGCGAUCUUUCCUAAGGUCUCAUCACCUUAGACCUCUAUGCCACUCGACCGUCUGAGUCCAAUCCCUCGCGGAUAGUUCGCACACAAUGCUGCUCCCACAUCUCCUCGUACUCGAUACUCGGCACCCGGCGCGAAAUCGCGCAUCACCCAGCUCGGCUCAAGUCACCUGGGUUGAUCCACAAACUGCUCAAACCAUUCCGCAGCGAAAUCUCGCACACGCCACAAAUGUCUUACCCCGAGCGCGAAAUCGCGCCACAAUUCUGAUCGUUCACCCACACUUGUGUUCACAAUCCGGGAUUCCAAUCCAUUUCACGUAUCAAGGUUUGAGUUCUUAACCUAUGGAAUUGACCUAUUAGUCCAACUUUACUCAACCUAAUUAAUACUUUAGUUCAAUUGCUUUAUACUCUUAAGCCUAAGUUUCUAGCACUAGGUCCAUACUAUUAACUCUAAUUCCCAUGACUUAGUUCUUACCUUACUCACAACCUAUAUUCUCAUAACAUUAGGUUAAUGGCUUCUCGUUACCUAUUUCAUUACAUAGUUCUUUACCCUACUUUUCUACCUAGUUCAUAGACUUUUAAGUCAAUCACUCGAUCUAUAUGUAUACAUAUGUCCUUUACUCCUAGGUUCACGACUCUAGGUUCAAUGCCACUCGAUCUAUAUGUAUACAUAUGUCCUUUACUUAGCAUUCUUACAUUAGCAUCUCUACGCAUGCAACAUGUCUAACAUAUGUCAUUUAUGCAUUACUUAACAUUCUUACAUUAUGACCAUAUGCAUUAUUUACACUAUGUCAUUAUGCAUCAUUUGGUAGCCUAAUUUAGCAUUCAUCUCAUGCAUACACAUGCUCUAUCAAUAGCUACCAUUACAUGCAUCAAUGAUAAACAUUUAACUUAGACAUACAGGCGACCUAGUCGCUUUGGUAAACACAACCCACCUGUAUCGCGUUCCGAUUGCUUGUCGACACUUGCAAUCGGCCUCCCGCGGCGCCCGUAUCCGGCACGGCCCAAUAUUGCAACUGCGUCACAACCGUGCUCCGCUUCGCAGCCCCGAAAAUUAUAGGUCUUCGGUUAUGUGCCCCGGCGCUCCAAUCCAUUUCCACGAUUUUACGACAUCGCCUCGGCCCUCCAGGCGGAAACGAAGCUAAAUCAUCAGUUUCUUCAAUAUCUUUGUAACGGCUCGACGGAUUGCCAAACGGACUUCGCCAACAUGUUUCGUUACCUACCAAUUUGGUUUAUGAAGGGUUAAAUGAGAUCAAACCCUUAUAUUUACAAAAAUCCCAUUUCGGACCCUAGAUUUGCAACUAUUGCAAAAUACACCAUUAGAGCUUUGGAUUCAAGCUUCAAUAAACUCCUUAGCAUACUAGGGUUUCAAUUAAAUCCAUUCUAGAGAUCAAAAUCCAUAAUCUAGAAGGUUACUAUUAAAGCCCUAGAAGCUUACCUCUCUAGGUUUGCUCCAAGGUGAGGAAGAAGAUGAUGGAGGGGAAGCUCUCCACUUGCUCCACCUUCUUUUCCCUUUCUUCUUCUUCUUUCUCUUCUUCUUCUUCUCUUCUCCUUUCCUUUCUAGAGAGAGAGAGGGAGAGUUUUGCGGUGAUAGAGAGUUUUGGGGUGAGGGAAAGAGAGAAAGAGAGGUUCUAACCCUCUCUAUACACUUAACCCAUGCAACAAUUGCACAUAAGCCCCUCAACAAUGCCUCUAUUGCAACAGCCCGAACUGGGCAUUUUCGGGUCUCUGGGACCGGUCCCAGGCAGUGAGAGACCGGUCCCCGAAGGUCCAGAAAAACAGCAUUCCAGACUUAGCCAAAUUUUCAGCUUUUUCAGCUUUCGGGGUCCGUUUUCACUCCGUUUUCGCUCGUUUGACCUCCGAUUAUUUUCAAAUCGAACCGAGACUCUCCAAACAUGUUUUCGAACAUGUUUUCAUCAUCUUUUCAUCCACGCUAAUGCCGGAUUUAGCUCACGGCCCAACAUAGCCUUUCGGGUUUCGUUUUCGCGCCUACGCGCACCGAAACGCCCGAAUGCUCCAGAACUUCUCCGAACUUCACCGGGAUCAUUCAAAUGGCUUUCCAACCAAAUGUACACCAUAACGUCAUGACUUUAGAAGUUCGGUAUGUUACAUUCUCCCCUCCUUUAAAAGAGUUUCGUCCGCGAAACUCAAACUGCACCUCAAUUCAGCUCCUCGAGCAAUUGAGAGCACCAAUGCACUUUUCCACUUAGGAAUGGCUUUAUACUCUUUAGAACUAUCCAAGAGGCCCACUACGGAGGGUACAAUACCAAACUCGUACAACUUCGCAAGGUGCAUCUCGCAAAAUGCAUUACGGUCUCCGUCAUUCUUAGUGGUAGUGCAAGUCGAAACUCAACGACUUUACGCGCUCCAACACCAUUCAUAACCUAGCACGCAAGGCCUUUUCUUUACAUUUACCUUCCCCCUCAGGGUAUUCCGAUUCGAUCACCAUCAUUGCUUAAAAGCAAUAUUACCAGUGCAUCGUUUCCUCGCGAGUGUUCCAAUCAUAUCCGGAUCUUUACUCUAUUGAGAGAUGGCCUACUCCGGCGCACAUCACGAAUCUCAAUCUACAAAAGAGCAUUAUCCUCAAGUUUUCCAACCUCUCCAACAUGACCCAGCCUGCCUCGGCAAAAUUCAUACUCGGGGACCGGUCUUGCCCUACCUGGGACCGGUUGCCCCGCGCUGCGCAACCCUCCACCUUGGGGCAACCGGUCUCUCCCUCUUAGGACCGGUCCUCGAGAGCAUGCUCGCGCAGACCACGUUCGGGAACCGGUCCCUCCCGCCAGGGACUGGUCCCCGAGAGCAAAUCUGCCAAGUGCAGAUUCUUGCACCAUUUGCUCUCGUGGACUCCAUUGCAAUGCACUUUUGAUGCAUUUGACUUCUUCGGCUUCUACGAAGCACUCCCACUCGACAAUUAGUCGAUCUUGAGCGAAGUUCAACUCUCGUAUUUAGAGAAUUCACUUCCUUACUCCAACUUUUCCACAGAGUUAUCGGCCAUACCGCUCAUCGGUUUCCAUGGGUGGUCCAUAGACCGCCAAUUCCACGAAGGCGUACCGCCUAAACCUGUUCAAUCACUCGCGCAACACAGACCCAAUCAACAUUCUCGGGUGAAAUUGUCACUUGAAAAUUCACACACACUCCAAUCAGGAGCUAUCGAGACCCCAAUCCGCAUCUAGUCCUUGGGUUGGGUCACUACACACUCUGUGUGUCAUCAAUCACAUAAUCUAUCACGUGGCAUUCCACGUUCCCAGGUCUCAGCUCGGACUACCGCCCUGACCAAACUCUGCCCCACUACUGGGCUGCUGCUCCUCACAGCUAACUGCGCCUGCCCAAUGGGCCCAGGCUCCACAGUCCACAUACGGUCAGGCACGAGUCGUCCCUAAGCAAUACCCGCCGUCGACGUCCUACACGACAUGCUCCAACGAGCUACAAACACCGCUAUCGGCUCCUAAGCACCUAGUGCGAGCCAUCAGCCCUACGAGUGAUCCAUGGCCCGCUUCACACUUAGCAAUGCUAAAGUGCUACUGCCAACACUCUCUCGGCUGAUUCAAUACCGCACACCACGAGUACCUACAUUCGAGCGCUCUACACACCUCUGCUGCAUCCCAACUACGUCAAGCAUUAGGCAACUUUGCCUAAGCGCACUAACGACACAGGCACAACUUACCUACCUCAAUUUGAGGUACUACUAGGCCUCACAUGCCCGUACUCGGCCAUUAACCGGCUAUUUACUCACAGUGAUUCUACUUUCACUGCUCGAUCUAUCGGAACGACAUCCGAAAUUCUCGGAGUACUCGGGUAUCCUCACGUAUCCUAACUCAACUCUCGCAAUCUACUAUCCAUUGCCUUGAGAGUCGCUUCACCCCUUCGCGUUCACCACGAGUCUCACUCCUCGUGCAAGAAUCCUUACUAGCCAUUUGCUAGUACCAGUUGGCUCUCUACCUGCUCUAGUAGGCGCCACACUCUCACCGCAUAAGCAUGCUCGGGUAUCUACCUAUACCCGCCCUAUGGGUCCCUACUAUGUAAUGCAUAAUAAGUAGCACCCGACCAUUCAAUAAAAUGCAUGCUAUGCAUCAACUUAAGACUAUACAAAAGCGUAUGCUUGCUUAAUUAACUCAUACCUGCCAUGACGUCAUCAGCAGCGGCAGGUUCCACAACUCGGGUCGCGUACCCAUGGCCACUUGGCGCUCGCCGCGAACCCUCCGGUUGCACCGUCGUCAAUGGUCGCUCUCCCGACCAUGCCGCAGGUGGCACACCUGCAGGCUGUCCCACAGAGGAAUGGGCCGUCGCCAGCAUCAAGGCCCGGCUAUCACCUUGCGGACACUCGUCCCGCGUAUGGCGCGGCAGCCCACACUUGAAGCACUUGCCCUCACGCUGCUCACACUGCUGGGGGUAAUGAGUGUCAUGCCCCAGAUUACACGUUCCCCGGGCAUGCCGACAAAUCCGUCGUAUACAAAGGAAUUUCCCCUGAUACGAAGCGACAGCUGUACCUGUAAAACAUACAAUACUACAAACAGUAGUAUAGAGCUGCUAGAAGAACUAGUAAAGUAAAAGAAACCGAGUUCCAUAUACAUACACUGAAUCCCAGAGUACAAAACUACUCGCGCUGGCGAGUUAAAAGUCUGUAUGUACAUGAACCCAAACCAAAACAUCUACCUGCAGUAGGGGUGCCUCUAGCUCUGCUCCUCGGGUAGGGCUCUAACUCGCGACGCCCUUGCCUAGAUCCUGAUCAGCAACAGCAGCAGCCGAAGACGAAGGCUCUGCAAAAACGGGGUAACAACUGGGCGUGAGAACUACUGUAGAAACAAGUAGUCCUCAGUGGGUGCCGCCCUCAACAAUCAUCAGUCCACCCACUAAGUCUACAGAAGGUAACAAGGCUAGCAGAAAAAGCUGGAAAGAAAUCUACAGCUACAUAUCGCUACACUAGCAUGAUCUACACUAACCAACUGUAGUAAAAGUUACAACUGACUCAAUUUCACUAGGGACUAUGAACACACCCGUCCCGCCUGUCGGAUCGAACCUGUAACCUACUCCAGGAGUAGCUGGUGGAGAGAACUCUCUAGGGACUGUGAAUACACCCAUCCCGUCUAAUUAGGUGACACCGUAGCUCAAGAGUAACCGGCGGAGAAGACUCUCUAGAGAUUGUGAAUACACCCGUCUCGUCUACUAGACUACACCGUAUCUCAAGAGUAACCGGUGGAGAAAACUCUUUAAAGACUGUGAGUACACCCUUCUCGCCUAAUUAGACUACACCGUAUCUCCAGAGUAGACGGUUCCAGAAAAGGUC
rnacentral:lncRNA from 1 species